UAUUUUUUGGUAGCAUCAGCUACCAAUAACAAUAUCGAGAGAAGCAUUACAAAAUAUUUCAUAAUAUCAAAACAUAUUUGUUAUUUUAAGUAAUUUAAAUAAUGCUAUUCUGUUUCUAGUAGUUGCUAGGUAUCAAGGGCAAAUCAACCUCAUCACACCACUCGAUACAACGUGUCUCAUAAUAUGAACUAUUUAUGUCAUUGGGCAAGUAGGUCAACCAUACUUGUGCUCCUAUUCUCCAUUUCAACACACUGCCCUCCAUCUCUUUGUUCAAUCUCCACAUAACACCGUCCUUAUAUUCCUCGCCCGAGAAAAUCAAGCCAUAGGUUUUAGUGAAUGCUCGACUGCCUCCGAUUUUAGUGAUUUCCUCAAAUAUCCGCCCUUAGGAACAUAUAGGCGGUCUCCCUUUAUCUUCACUAGUUCCCCAUCGAGCCAGAACUGUCAAGUUUUACCUUGCUUGAUGAGGUCAACCAACUAUUGAGUAGCCUGGUCCUUCUCCAUAAGUGCCCGAAUUUGGUCUCUAGUGUUCGUGGAGCUGGCGCUCCCUAAAAGAGCAACUACGGAGCAAAUGGCAGCCAAAUCGGCCUGUCGACUAAGAGCAUCAACAACAUUAUUACUAGAUCCAGGACGAUACUCUAGUAUAAAAUUGAACUCCGAAAGAAAUUCUUGCCAACGAGCCUGCUUGCUCGAUAGUUUUGGUUGGGACAUGAAGUGACUAACUGCAGUGUUAUCUGUCUUCACAAUAAAUGGAGACUCAAGCAAAUAGUAACGCCAUCCUCUGAGAUAAUGGACUACUGCCAGCAAUUCCUUUUCAUGUGCCGAUUAACGACGUUCUGUUUGGUUUAACUUUCGGCUCUCAUAUGCUACCGGAUGUCCUUCUUGCAUGAGGACUUCAUCAAUUGCAAAAUCUGAAGCAUCUGUGUGAACUUCAAAUGGUUUAGUCAUGUCCGGCAAGGCUAAAAUCGGGUUCGUCCACAUGGACUUCUUCAACCUUUCAAAAGCAGUUUGGCAUUGGGAUGACCAAUCCCAAUCUUUAUCUUUCUUUGUCAAUUCGAUAAGUGGCAGUGGCAAUUUCUGAGUAGCCUUUCACAAAUCUUUGAUAGUAAUUGCAUAACCCCAAGAAAUGAACGUACAUCAUGUACGGUUUUUGGUGGUUGUCAAUCUUUGAUGGCUGUAACCUUCUUCGAAUCCAUGCGAAUUUUACCUUGUUCAAUGAUGUGACUCAAGAAACUGAUAGAUGUUUCAGCAAAUGAGCAUUUAGAUGGCUUGGCAUAGAGUUCAUUCUCUCGUAGCCGAUUAAAAACUUGCCUCACAUGCUGGACAUGUUCUUCCAAUGUCUCGCUGUAGAUUACUAUGUCGUCCAAGUACACCACGACAAAAUCAUCUAAGAACCCGUGAAGUACCUGAUUCAUCAUAGUACAAAAUGUUGCUGGAGCGUUUGUCAAACCAAAAGCCAUCACUUUAAAUUCAAAGGCUCCAUAUCUGGUUACCACUGUAAUCUUUGCUUCGUCUCCCUUCUUGAUCCGAACUUGCCAGUAUCCGGACCUAAGAUCAAUUUUUGUGUAAUACUUCGCCCGACUCAGUCGAUCGAAGCAAUUUGCAACCAGUGGGAUAGGAUAGCUAUUCUUUAUAGUAAUCUUGUUCAAGGCUCGAUAGUCAUAGCACAUUCUAAGAGAACCAUCGGCCUUUUUCUGAAACAAUACAGGAGCUCCAUAUGGAGACUUCGCAGACACAAUGAUUCCACUCUCCAACAUUUCUCCCAAUUGCUUCCUAAGCUCUUCAAGCUCAGGCUGAGACAUACGGUAAGGUGUCCUGGCGGGAGGUUUGGAGCCUGAAAUAAGUUCAAUCUCAUGAUCAAUCGUCCUUCUUGGUGGUAAUUUCUUUGGUAACUCGUCCGGCAUGACGUCUUCAAAUUCCUUAAUAAGCCUUUUAACGGAUUUUGAAAUAGGACCAUUCGCCUCUUCGAUCUCCUCUAAUCGAAGAGUACACAAAAAAGAAGGUUCAUUUCUCUUAAAACCCUUAUUGAAUUGCAUGGCUGGAAAACUCUUCUCGCCCAUCCUCCAAACUUGUGUAGGGAUGACUCACGGCUUAUUACCCAUCAUCAUUAACGAAUCGGAAUAUGGCAACACUGCUGUCUUAGUAUCCCGAAAAAAUUUCAAUCUCAGAAUUAGCUUGAAAUCAUCCAUCUGAAUUGCAGAUAAAUUUGUCCUUCUCUCGAAAGAACCUGUUUUGAUCAACACCGAUUUCGCUACACCAGCUAUUGGUUGAGCAGCGGAGUUGAUUGCUUUGACUUUUCCACUACCCUUUUCCAGAACAAGUCCGAGCCGCUCUACUUUGGUAUAUGCAAGGUAGUUGUGGGUAGCACCAAUAUCCACCAUAGCCCUGAUUGGCUUUCCAUUGAUUUUAUGUCAAUGUACAUUAAGCCUUUAGCCCUACAAAUUCGAGUCUUCGCUUCUUCCAUCUUUGCCUCUUUCAAUGGGACAUCAUCAUUUUUAGCAACCCGAUGCGAUAGUGUGUUGCACCGAUGUGAAAAUGCCCCAACUACGUCCUCAUCCUCUUCGAAGUUGGUCUCACUAUGACAAUUAGUCUGCGGGGCCUCUUGCUUUGAACUUGACCCGCCACUUGCUAACUGACAAUAUGCGUUCACCAUCCACGUCUGAGGACACUCCGACACCCGAUGAGGUCCUUCACAUAAAAAGCACUUCAAUUUGGGAGUGGCAUCAGUUAGGCCCUCUGUUGCUUUUCCUUUAUUCCAGUUGUUACUAUUACUGCCGUUAAAAUUUCCUUGACGACUAUUAUGAUAGUUUCCCUGAAAGUCACGGGUGCUUUGAUAGGCACCUUCUCUAUUCUGAGAGUAACGCUCUCAGAAUAGAGAAGGAGAUCCCAAGAAUCUAUUCGAACCCUAUUGGCUUGAAUGUCAGCAUAUUUGGUUCGCCGCCAUAGUUUUGCAUCUCCACCUAGAUACAUGGUAGCUUUUAUUACCUUUCUAGCUUCGUCUUCGAUCGAAGCUGCGAGAAAGUACUGUUCCAUAUCGAACAAGAAGUUUUCGACUUCUUUUGCAUCACAUGCCCCUCCGUAGGUACCUGGUUCAGGAAUUCUGAGUCUAUGAGCAUACUUAGGUACGGGAGCUUGGCCAUUGCCCACCGCACAUUGGAAUACCCGCAAUUGAGCUCUCAACACUUCCAUUUCAUCCUGCAGAUCAGGAAUGAUUGCAGCAGCUUCAGUCAUUGCUGCGCAAGCCCUUUGGCUUUCAUCCAGUUGGAUGUGUAAUCCACGAAUCUCGAAUUCGGCCAUCUCGACUUUUUCCUCGAGACCUUCCAAGGCAUAGCACAACCUAGUGGUUGUCUCAUCAAGCGCAUCCACGCACUGUUUAGUAGUACCCUUAUUUUGAGGCUCUACCACUUCAGUGGUGUGGGAUGUAAUUGGAUCCAUAGCUUUCUUAUCGAGGGUCGUGAGUCGCAGCUCUGAUACCAACUUUUACGGGGUGCCUUUCUUCUUGGCACAGAAAGGGACACUGUGCGGUAGUGGUCUACUCCGCUAGACUACCUUCCGCAUUUUUUCGAUCGCGUCGGGACGAAAGAAAAUUUGAUUACAAUUUUGUAGAAAACUUACAAUAGAGAAUUUGAAUACAUUGAAAGUAAAUUGAACAUUGAUUGAUGAAAACUGAACAUUACAAUUGACGAAAGUAGAAAAUUACAAUUGCUGGUGUAGGGAGCGGACACCAGUGAGUUUGAAAGAUUUUUGAAUGACUAAUACCUCUUAUAAUAGCAUUCUAAACAAAAAUCUAAGUGACAGGAGUAGACAUUUAAAAGACGAUGAAUCAUACUAAACGUUUACUAAUAUCAGAGCUAUUUUACAACUGAAAUAACUAUUACAAUGAAAAGAAAAUUACAACUCAAACUUGAAGUAAUAUUUACAAUGUGCGGCCGAAGUUGGGAAAACUGCGAUUGUGAUAGUGUCAAGGGGCUAAGUAAAGCUACGGUUCCUGACACCAUGGAACGCCGAUAAUCUGAAAAUAUAUUACAAGUGACUAGCUAUAUCUAUAAGCUUGCAUGCCCGCUUUAUGUUUCCUUAAUUUCAUUUACUUUUCGGGCUCUAAUGCCCUGUUAGCUCAUGCUCGAAUAAGCUCGGGUAUCAAACGCCCUUGAGCCCUUUUAAUAGCACAUAGAAUUUUCUUUAUGAUGUUGAUUCCCUAUUAAAUUAGCGUAAGGCCGUGCCCUGCACAUGCAGCUAAUACCUUUACAAAAUUAGCAUAAAGCUGUACCCCGCGCAUGCAACUAAUACCUUUACAAAAUUAGUAUAAAGUCGUGCCUCGCACAUGCAGCUAAUAACUUUACAAAAUUAGCAUAAUGCCGUGCCCCGCGCAUGCAGCUAACACUCGAAAAAUUCCACACAUGACCUCAAGCAGUAACAGGUCGGGCAUAUAAGCUUGACCUCAUCUAUCCCAGAAUGACGAGCAAUAAAAUAAUUCUGAGAUCGAGGACGACCACAUAUUACCAUCCCCGACCUUAUCGAUCCCAAAAUGCUCAGCCAAGCAUGAAUUCUGAGAUCGAGGUCGGGGCAUGAUGUAAUUACCCCCAUAUAACAAUCCCCGACCUUAUCGAUCCCAAAAUGCUCAACCAAGCAUGAAUUCUGAGAUCACGAUCGGGGCAUGAUAUAAUUGCCCCUCAUAUAACCAUGAUCGACGUUUCCGUCAAUUCAUCAGCGACUAAUUGGUCCCCUCUCGAUAUAAGCAAAGAAUCAAAUCAAUACCAAACACUAGUAGCACGAACUAGUUGCCCCCAACAAUACACCAUUGAACUUUGAAAUUGACGCCCCACGAUCAGUAUUAUUUAAAGGAUUGAUGUAUCCAUAGUUCAACAAUAAGAAUUGUUAAGUAAUACACCCGAACUAUUACACACACUCGAGCUAUGAGCUAAAUGAUUGCGACAUGUGACCUACACUAACAACCGAACUCUAAACUGUAAUAAAAGCUCGAAUUCAAAAUUAUAACGUUCAUACGCCAACACAGGAUCAACGCUGGAUCUCGUAGGAAUAAUAAAAUGCAUGAACUGAUAAAAUUCCCUCUCAUAGACAGAAGCCCAGUUCGGGCAAUAAACUUUGCAUUUAAUCAAAAUCAAAAUAAAUUCAUAAACCCAGAUCGGGCAGAUAACAUGAGCAAAAAGAAAUAGUUACAAAAAUAUCAGUUUCAAAAAGUUACAAAAAUAUCAGUUUCAGGGUCGGGGAAAGGCCUAAUCUAGGUCGAUGGGGUCGCUCCCCCCUCCAUUGUCAGGGGUCCCAGCAUCAUCGUCAUCAUCAUUCCCACCACCCUCAGAGGAGGAUAGCUCGAGGUCCUUAGCGAGCUCGUUCACAGUCUUUAACUCCUCCACUACGGGCUUCAAAUCCUCGGGGAGCUUGGUCCUAAGGAAUGAACAAGCUAGCCGCAACCCAUAGUAAUACGUGCUAGACCCGUACUGACCCAAAAGAGUCUUGAACUCAUCAGAUUUCUUAAAGUCAUCGACGGCCUAAGCUCUGGCUUCUGCUCGAACAUUCGCAAGCUCCGCCUCAAAAGAGCUUGGGGACUGAAUGAGCUCGAGCUUCGCCUCCUCAGCUUCGUCCCUUGCCAACCCGACCUCGUCCUGGGCCUUCUUAAGGUCUGCCUUGGCCACCUCCAGGGCCCUUUCAAGCUCCUUGGCCCUCUUAAACGCAACCUCGCUCUUACCCUCGAGCUCGGCUAUGCGAUCUGAAGAAUUCAUGCCCUUGAGGCCCAGACCCCGAGCUACGCUUAGUGUCUGCAAAAAUAAGUAUGGAGCCCAACGUUAGUACAAAUUAAGAAACAAAUCGAGGGUACCAAAAUCAUUCAUAUUAAAAACUGACCUUCAGUGUAAGGAGCUCGAGAGUCCGAACCACUUCAUUCAUCUCGACCUCCUUCUCAUACUUAUCAACUAUGCCCUGGAUGAUAGCACAGUCGGCGUACUCUUCGAGCGACUUGGUGGGCAUAUGGUCGUCAUCAUCAGCUAGGAGGUCUGGCCUAUGACAAGGGGUACGAACUCAAACUUGUUGUUAGGGGGUUGGCUGCCUUGAGGGGUCGGGUUUUGUGAGCUCUGCCCCAGGUCUACCAUGGUUGGACGGGUGGCUUCCCGUGCCUGCUUUUUCCUUUUGGAUGAGGUUGUCAUCGGAGCUUUAGACUUCGGGCCCUUUGCUUUUUUAUGAACGUUGUCCAAGAGGGCUGACGGAUCGAAAGACAUCUCGAAUUCUACAAGCAGAAAUACAACAAGGCAUUAGCUCGAACUAUAGAUCGAUGUUUACACAUGAAAUGGCAAAGAUUACAUAAAAAGAAAGAUCGUACCCUUGAGGCCCUUCACGUUAGCAAGGUCGAGGGUGUCGUCUUCAAGCAAGUAAUCGAUCUUGUCUACAAGGGGGUCGUGGUUCACAAACCUUAGCCUAUCUCUCUGUAGAACCUUAAAAUAGGCCUGACCUUCGUUAAACAUAUCCUUAUCGAGGAUUUCCCACCUCGAGCUAAAGGGAUGGUCGGGGUCUUAAGGCUUCACAAAAAAGAAACGUUCCUCUAACCCCUAUGUGAGCUUGGGGUAUCAAGAGUUCUAAAUCCUCCCUUGGUGGAUAAAUAAACAAAACAGUUAUACCCCGGGAAAAAUUUCAUAUCAAAGACCAUUCGAAGUAAGUCGACCCUAGGUUCAACCUCGAGGCACAUACACAGUGUGAAGAAAUACACUAAUAACCUCCAACCGUUCGGGGCUAGUUGACCCAGACACAGGUAGUAUGAGGUCAGAAAAUGGAUGAAAAAUGGGUGAAGAGGCCACCUAAGCCCGGCCUUAAGAACGUCCCUAAAACAGGUCAUCUCUCUCUCCCGAGCUCCUAACACGGUAUCAGUUGGCCUUGUGGUUCUAAUGUCACAAAUUGGCAUGACCCUGAACUCUCUAACUAUUUUAAUAAUUACAUGUUCUUUGUACUUGGUCGGCUCCUUGGGGUAUGUCAGGACAUCGAUAUGGGAGUUAACGGGGAUGGCCAUUGGAAUAAUGGAUGUAUUUACAUCUUUAGGCCUAUCACUAUGGUUCGAAUCUCUAGGAGCCUGGCUACUGUCACUACUACUUGACCCAGUACUAUCACUACUCAACUUUAUACUAUAAUCAAAUAAAACAACUUAAGGGCUCGAACUCUUACAGUCUUACCUCUGUGGAUGGUCGCUCACAAUCCUCACUAAUCCCCGUACUCGAGCUCGAUUUACUGGGAGAUGAGAGUUAAAAGUGAAAAAUGGGGGUGAAAGUUGGGGUAUUUAUAGGGGACUAAGGAAUACCAAUGGUCAUGCAAUCUCAACCCUUGGACCAAGACACAUGGCGAGAAUCUAAGGUCGUGCCCUGACAUUACAUGUGGCGGCCAUCUGAGAUUGCUCUCUGACAUCCCACCAAACACUCGACACAUGGAAAAACACCGGACGUUCAUGCUUCUACAUCUUCGCUCGUAGACCAGGCUUGGACGGAAAUCUACGACCUCGAUGCACGGGGGCCAGUGAUGAUCUCAGAUCUCGUAAAUUCCGAACUCGACCCAUGAACCCCGAUCACACCAUAAACCCCGAUCUCAGUACCCCCUAAAAACACCAAAACAAGGUCGGGCAUUUGAGGUUGGGGGUAUGUAUGUCGACUCAUCAGCCUUCUAUAUGACCUAUGGGAACACUAAUCCUACUUUGACCCCUACCCUAUUAGACUCCUUCUUUGAUUUAAACAGUGAUUUGAAUACUUGAGGUAAAACACUAACUCCUUUUCCUACGAGGAUAAGGAUCGUGAUAGAAUAAGUCCUUUUAGGACUCCACCGUUAACACCUAUAAAUACACAACUUGUGCUCAUUCUUGAGGUACGUUUUUCAUUAUCUUCAAUUUAUAGCAUCACGCACUUAAUUCCCUAUCUGAUUUAAGCAUCGGAGGGGCGAUGAACACACACCUCCUUGCCUUUGUUGCAGGUAUUCAAAGACCGUCCGUGUUCUUCAAAGUAAAAUUCGAUCAUCAAGUUCGAGAUCUUUCAAGUAAUAUUUUUUGGUAGCAUCAGCCACCAAUAACAAUAUCGAGAGAAGCAUUACAAAAUAUUUCAUAAUAUCAAAACAUAUUUGUUAUUUUAAGUAAAUUAAAUAAUGCUAUUCUGUUUCUAGUAUUUGCCAGGUAUCAAUGGCAAAUCAACCUCAUCACACCACUCAAUACAACGUGUCUCAUAAUAUGAACUAUUUAUGUCAUUGGGCAAGUAGGUCAACCAUACUUGUGCUCCUAUUCUCCAUUUCAACACACUGCCCUCCAUCUCUUUGUUCAAUCUCCACAUAACACCGUCCUUAUAUUCCUCGCCCGAGAAAAUCAAGCCACCGGUUUUAGUGAAUGCUCGGCUGCCUCCGGUGUACCGUUUACGAAAUUGAAUGCCACUGCCGUUUGAUGGCUUCCACGUGGCAAUUUCGGCUCCCGUGGUGUUGUCACAUAAAAUUGCAUCAAAUAUAGCUGCAUUUCCUUCCACAUCUUGGUCCCACCUCCAAUUUCUUAUUUUUGUUCUUGAUUUCAUUCUUGUCAUUGUCUUCACAUUAGGAACUUUUGAUUUUCCGUUAGUACCCUUCAAACUCUUUUGCAUUUCCACCUCUCUUUCCAUAUUGUCAGUUGACUGGCCCAAGCUCAGCCCACCCACAUAACUUGCACCCACUUCUGGCCCAACCCAGACCCGGACUCUUGAUGGAAAAUACUUCUCAUCCAUCCAAUCAGCAUCCUGAUCAUUUUUCUUAAAUCCUAGUUUCACCACAUGGAACCGCAGGUUGUCGACACAUGCCUUCACUUGGAUAAAUCCGUCGCUGAAUCCGACUGUAUAUUCCAAUUGAAUCACAGCCUCAAGCUGCUGGUGUGCUAGUGCAUACUUCAGCACAGAUUCUCUGGCAUCAAUAAUAGCUGGGAACUGAUUUUUACGUCCAUUAUUACUGAAUUCCAACUGCAUGGAUUUCGCCGGAGAGUAGCCUUUCAGAAUCCAUAACCCAUGAGACUCCAUGGCAUAUGAAAAUCCAAGAUUAUGAGAUGGCAAUGGGGCCAAAGACUGUAGUCCAACCUCAACAUCACUUGAAACCAACCAUUUUGAUGCUAUGUAUCCAAAAGUACGCAUGAAGCAAAUUUCCACGUCCGUUCCUACAGUGAUGAAGAAAUUACGAAGAACGGGACGGGCUUUACGUGAGAAAGUUUCGAGGUUUGGAGCAAGCAAUGAAUGGAAAUACAGGGAGCCAACCUCUGAUGGCGCAUCGCAUGCACAAAGCCAGAAAAGGUGGGCAAGGAAGAUGAAGUUGAAGAAAUUUGAGAAAGAUUCUGGUGAGUGGGAGUCUAGAGUCCAUGAAACUGGCUCGGGUUUCAGCUUUUGGAGCUGUGAACGAGGGCAAGUGCUAUCAUGUGCGGUGGGGGAACGGGAUACAAUCUCUUGAAGGAGUUGGAGUAUUAGAGGCAAGAAUGGCUUGUCUGAAGCCAAGGGACAAAUAUCAGAAGUCCAUAUGAUUAUCUCUGCUGCAAUAGAAGAGUUAGACUCUAGAAAGCGUAUAGAGAAAGUGAGAAAUGAUUCCGACUCAGAUCCAAAUUUUCGCUCUGCUCUGAGUUCAAUAGUUUGCGCUGAAUUGUUCUUGAGUCGGGUAGGGUUGGAAGCUGCAAGUAGGAAAGUUUGAGGUGAGUUUGACUCGCUCCACUCAUCCGAGUUGGGGAGUUCACAUAUCCAUGACCAUAUAUCCAUAUUUUCUUGGUGUAAUAUCCCCUUUCUCUUAAGGAUUUUAUUGUUUAAGAUUCUUGAAUAUGGAGAAGAGUGCUGGGAUUUAUAGAGAGAAUGAGUGAUGCUAAGGUUGCCAACUUGAAAUAAGUUUUGUGGGUUCAAGGGAAUCAAACUUUGUGGUUAUGGAUGAGACUUGUGUGCACCAUUCGAUUCUGCGGUUUUGGUCAUUGGAUGCAUUAAUUGCUUAGAUAAUACUAACAUUCAAGGCUUAUUUUUCUUCUUGAAUUAAUGUAUUUAUUCCCCGUUUUAGUAUAAUAUAAUUUUGGAGCGUUUGAGAAAAAUCGGAAAUUGAGGACCAUAGCCAAAUUUUCUUAUUGUUUUCUUAAUUUAUAUGAUGUAAAUUUGCAAGAAAUCGAGUACAGAAGACUAGGGACAUUGGAUUUUUAGGAAUUGUGGACGAAAUCGUUCACAAGAUCCGUUUUCAAUGAAGUUUGGAGGUAUUGUCAUAUAAGACACGGGAUAUAUGGGAUUUUUCGUAGUUAUGGACGGAAACAUACACAUUGCCAUCUUCUAUAUUUUUCUCGAGAUUAAGUUUUUGCUUGGCUCCUAAAUUAUUUGAUUGAUAAAUUGAUUAGUCUGAAUAUGUGAAGUUUUCACCUCUGUGCAUUUGGAUUUAAAGAAAAUGUUUGCGUGGUUCGUGCAAAAUAAAAGAAGAUGUCGUUUUCCUUUCAUUUUUAUAAUUGAUGAUGAUAUGUGGAAAUUUUACAUGAAAUGAAAGGAACUUUCAUCAUUGUGACAUUGCUGUAUGAAAUUGUAAUAGCACUUGAUCAGUGCUGUUUAGGUUGGGUGAUCGGUUCUGCUGUGCUAAUGUGCACGCGGCUUACGAUGUUACACGUCCUACAAGACAAUGAGUGAUUAAUGAACUCGUGAACCUUUGACUCUACUUACCUGUUGCAUCUUUGACCGCUAAUUUUUUCUUCCAAUAGCUAAUUAUUCUCUUAACUUUUAAAAAUGAGGUGGUUGCUUUUCAUUAUAAUUGCUUAAGUCGAAAUUAUUUAAGCCGGGCAUGUUUUUAAGUGUGUAUAAAUUGUAUGUCCUAUGGAAAUAUGUAAAUAAUAAGUGAUUGGGUUAUGAAUCUUAUGAAAUGUGUGAAUAAAGAAUAUGAUUGAUUAUGGCUUAAUGGUAAGAUUGCUUAAUGUUAAGAUGAUCAAAGAACAGAAUUAUAACGAAGAAUUGCUCCAAGGUUCUUUAAGGGUUAUAGUUGUAUCGACUUGGUGAACAUGCAUCCUUGGGUCCCGUGAUGCAUAAUAUUAGAGUGAUAGAUCAAUAUGCUUGCUUGGAUGAAAUGAUAAUGAAAAAAAGAAUAGUUCGUUCAACGAAAUACGUAGAUGAUAAAUGAAUAGUGAUUAUGAAAGUGUGUUUAGUAAUGUUUGACUUUGAUUUCAAACUAUAAUGAGACUAUAAUUUUAUUCAAAUGAGCACAAUAUUUUUUUUAAACAUCACUAAUAAUUUUAAUAUGAUAUGCAAAAAUGUUGUGUUUCGAAAAAAAAAAAAAGAUAAAAAAAAAUUGAGGGUCACAAAAAAUUUAACAAAGACGUUUACCGUCUUUUUAUCAUCGUUUCAUUUUUUUUAUUUUUUUUUACAUGCAAAAAAGAAAGAAAACCAUGUACAUAUCCGGGCAAGGAAGAUGAAGUUGAAGAAAUUUGAGAAAGAUUCUGGUGAGUGGGAGUCUAGAGUCCAUGAAACUGGCUCGGGUUUCAGCUUUUGGAGCUGUGAACGAGGGCAAGUGCUAUCAUGUGCGGUGGGGGAACGGGAUACAAUCUCUUGAAGGAGUUGGAGUAUUAGAGGCAAGAAUGGCUUGUCUGAAGCCAAGGGACAAAUAUCAGAAGUCCAUAUGAUUAUCUCUGCUGCAAUAGAAGAGUUAGACUCUAGAAAGCGUAUAGAGAAAGUGAGAAAUGAUUCCGACUCAGAUCCAAAUUUUCGCUCUGCUCUGAGUUCAAUAGUUUGCGCUGAAUUGUUCUUGAGUCGGGUAGGGUUGGAAGCUGCAAGUAGGAAAGUUUGAGGUGAGUUUGACUCGCUCCACUCAUCCGAGUUGGGGAGUUCACAUAUCCAUGACCAUAUAUCCAUAUUUUCUUGGUGUAAUAUCCCCUUUCUCUUAAGGAUUUUAUUGUUUAAGAUUCUUGAAUAUGGAGAAGAGUGCUGGGAUUUAUAGAGAGAAUGAGUGAUGCUAAGGUUGCCAACUUGAAAUAAGAUUUGUGGGUUCAAGGGAAUCAAACUUUGUGGUUAUGGAUGAGACUUGUGUGCACCAUUCGAUUCUGCGGUUUUGGUCAUUGGAUGCAUUAAUUGCUUAGAUAAUACUAACAUUCAAGGCUUAUUUUUCUUCUUGAAUUAAUGUAUUUAUUCCCCGUUUUAGUAUAAUAUAAUUUUGGAGCGUUUGAGAAAAAUCGGAAAUUGAGGACCAUAGCCAAAUUUUCUUAUUGUUUUCUUAAUUUAUAUGAUGUAAAUUUGCAAGAAAUCGAGUACAGAAGACUAGGGACAUUGGAUUUUUAGGAAUUGUGGACCAAAUCGUUCACAAGAUCCGUUUUCAAUGAAGUUUGGAGGUAUUGUCAUAUAAGACACGGGAUAUAUGGGAUUUUUCGUAGUUAUGGACGGAAACAUACACAUUGCCAUCUUCUAUAUUUUUCUCGAGAUUAAGUUUUUGCUUGGCUCCUAAAUUAUUUGAUUGAUAAAUUGAUUAGUCUGAAUAUGUGAAGUUUUCACCUCUGUGCAUUUGGAUUUGAAGAAAAUGUUUGCGUGGUUCGUGCAAAAUAAAAGAAGAUGUCGUUUUCCUUUCAUUUUUAUAAUUGAUGAUGAUAUGUGGAAAUUUUACAUGAAAUGAAAGGAACUUUCAUCAUUGUGACAUUGUUGUAUGAAAUUUAAAUAGCAGUUGAUCAGUGCUGUUUAGGUUGGGUGAUCGGUUCUGCUGUGCUAAUGUGCACGCGGCUUACGAUGUUACACGUCCUACAAGACAAUGAGUGAUUAAUGAACUCGUGAACCAUUGACUCUACUUACCUUUGUUGCAUCUUCGACCGCUAAUUUUUUCUUCCAAUAGCUAAUUAUUCUCUUAACUUUUAAAAAUGAGGUGGUUGAUUUUCAUUAUAAUUGCUUAAGUCGAACAUAUUUAAGCCGGGCAUGUUUUUUAAGUGUGCAUAAAUUGUAUGUCCUAUGGAAAUAUGUAAAUAAUAAGUGAUUAAAUUAUGAAUCUUAUGAAAUGUGUGAAUAAAGAAUAUGAUUGAUUAUAACUUAAUGGUAAGAUGAUCAAAGAACAUAAUUAUAACAAAGACUGCUCCAAGGUUCUUUAGAAAAAUGUGAAAUUUUCAAAAUAACAAUAAAAUUGUCAUACAUUUCAUUUUUGUUUGCAAGUUGAGAGCAUUUUCAAUAAAUUCUCUAUUUUUAAAGGACAUAUUCUAUUAUUUGGAGAGUAUUUAUAAAUUUAGAGAGUUAAAAUCUUGAAAUGUUCCAACAAAUUUUGUAUAUUUAACACUUAAUUUUAUUACUCUAAAGAAAUAUUUAUUAAUUUUCUCUAUCUUUUUGUUUUAUUUAACUUUUCUUUAAAUUAUUUUAUUAUUUUUCUAUAUUAAAAAUUAAAAUACUUUGAAUGCAUUUAAUUAUAAAAAGUGAGUUCGACCCACUCUCUAAAUUAAAAUGUUAAUUUGAAGCAUCAUUUUAAAGGUUAACUCUUCAAAAUAGAAAACAUGUUAUGUUUAAAGAAUCUCUUGAAAAAAUUCUAAUACACACAAUUGUUCCAUUACCAUAAAGUGUGCAAAAUCUCAAUAUUGACUAUUGAGCACUGAGAAUAAGGAAUGACGAUCUUCGAGUACAACUUUCUUAGGUUUUGUAUAAUCUCUACAUUUAACAAAAUUACUGCCUCGAACAUCUUUCAAUCCCUAAUAAGUUAUAGACUUUUGAAUUUCUACUUUUAUUUAUUUAUUCUCGUAAUGCAAGGAAAUAGAAUACUCCAACGAAUGUUAUUAAUGAAAUGACGUCCCAUUUUCCCAAAUUUUAAAUAAAUCACACAUCCCCCGGAUCUCUUUAGCUUUUGGACAACUCUUCAUGGUAUGUUUCAAGAUCUCGUUCAACUAAUAUAUAAAACACAAUAUGCAUCUAUUAAUAAUUUGCCCCCUUUGGCCCCCAUUCUUGCCAAAUUUUAAUGGUUGGAAUAGUAUUUUUUUGAAAAAUGUGUGGUUGAAAAAGAAUGAAAUUUAUUUUUUAUUUGCGUGUAAUAUUAUUUUAUGGAAGAUUGUGUAUUUGAAAAUAAGAGAGAGAAAAAGAAUGAAAUGAGAUAAUGGGGGCUAAACGGGGGCAAAAUUCUGCGAAUGGAAGGUGUGAAAAAUAACUUCAAUUUACCAAUCAUUAUCGUAUUUGUUUGGUAGUAUUUUUAAGUGUUUAUCAAUUAUUAAUAAAUUGUGAGUAUUAAUUUUUUUAGCUUUCGUUUGAGUCACAUUAUUGUAAAAAUAAGAAUGAAAAAUAUAAUCGCUAUGAAUCCCACACAAUAGAUAAAAAGUCAAAUAUGGUGACUUAAUGUGAUGGAUAAUGAUUAUAUUUUUCAUAUUAAUGAAGAAAUAAUGAGGUUCAAAGAGGGCAUUAAUUCAUAAUUUGCCAAAUGCUCAUAAUUAGGUAAGACAAAAGAACAUGCACCUAUAACGUGUGGGUGGUAUCCACUGGUAAUGCGUUUUAGGCUGCGCCACGCAACGCAGUACCCAUCCAUUCACUUGCCUUUUUCUAUAUUUUGUGGCAAGAAACGUUGUUAAUGUUGGAACUAUAAAUUUUUUUGUCCAAAUUUAUUAUAAUAAAAUAUGAUCGAAUAAUUAAUAAAAAUUAUAAAUCUCAUGAGAUAUACACUUAAAAUUAGAGUUUAGUCAGUUAAAGCUCUAAUUUUGAACCGGAGUUUAGGGGUCCGAACUGUCUCUUAUAAAGCACGGUUUUCUCAGGCAAGUGCUGCGAAAUCAGCAUCCGUAUAACUUAUAGGUAGGAAAAGCCUGUAAAUAAGGCUUUUUCCCUCUCAGUAACUCCCGUAACUCCAUUUCAAGACAUAUAGAAAGAGAAAAUAUAUGGGAACUUGGAAGGCAAGAAUUAUUCUUGGAAGGCAAGGUGCAACUUGGAUUGGCUUGCUUGGCACUUUGUCAGACCAGGUGGGGAGCGCUCGGACCCUGGCCAGUUGGAGGCACAUCCUGCGAUUAACCGGACUGUGUGAAGAGGGGCCGGAUCACAGACCCAAGGAUUAGUCUAGAAUAGGACACCUUGCAUAAAAUGUUUUGGAGAUUAUGGCAAAGAAUGUGAUUUGCAGAUUGUGGAGAGUUCUGCUAAAAUGGCUGAAAAAUCUGGAGUUACAUGCAGUGAUUCAUCCUCCACUUCUUCAACAAAUUAUGCACUGCCAAAAUCCAAGAAGAGAGAUGGGUCGGGUAGUGCAGAAUUCACUCUGAACUCCGGCGUUAAUUCCGGAGCUCUGGCAGGAACCCAGAAAUACCGCAGGAAAACCAAGUCGACAAACUCAACUGUGAUCUCCGGCCAAUCGAAGGUCAGUCGAGACUAGAAUUGCAUGUAAAGGGAGACUAAAUCUAAAUACAUUUACGUUGCUUAAAUGCUUAACAUUUUACAAGGUUUGGCAAAAUAUAGGAAAAGAAAGAGAAGCUUGGUGAAAGAAUCACAGCGUUGCAGCAACUUGUGUCACCCUUUGGCAAAGUUUGAUUCAUUUUAUCAAUUUACAAAUAUUUUAAUUAGUUUAAUUAUAUUUUUCUCUUUACUCUUCCUUUUACACAAAUCAAAUUGUGGAAAUACAUUCUUGGAAAUUGAUUGCACAGACAGAUACAGCAUCAGUGCUUCAUGAAGCAAUGGGUUACAUAAGGUUUCUGCAAGAUCAGGUUCGGGUUCUAUGUUCUCCAUACAUGCACUCUCUGCCUGUAAGUAUUUUUAUCACGCCUCAAAUACGCAUAUAGACCUUGUUUGUGUGAUUAAAAAGUUGUGAAUCCUAUAAAAUAUGUGAUUAAAUUUAUUGAUUGACUUUAACUUAGAUUUUAAUCAGGUUUUUAAGCGAUACCAAACUGGCAGCACCUGAUCAACCUUCCCAUUAGCCUCUAGCUAACAACUUGAAGAGUGUUUGGUGCAGUCUAGUACUUCAUGACCGUAGAUCGGAUAAUAUAAUUGAGAAAAAAAUUUAUUUGUUUUGAUUUUAUUUAAUACUGUUCAAUAUGGUCGAGCCUAUGUUAUAACGAAAUUGUGCGGCAUGGUACAUGAACAACAUCGGAUCGACAAUGUUAAAGCAUCGCAUCUAGACAUCAUUUAUGUAAAUUGUACAUAUAUAGCAGACUUUUAAUGAUAAAAUGAAUCGGUUUGCAUAACUGUAUAAUGAUAUCAUUUUUUCAUUGGAUUCCAUCUAAUUUUCAGUUUUAACGUUUAUGCAAUAUUUCCAGUUCAUUUGACGUGUUAAAAAACUAAAGUUUAGAAAUUAGUAAUUUUGAGGGGAAAAAACAAAUUCUAAAGUUCUAUCAAUGAGCUCAAUCCUAUCUAUUUAAUUGAUCAUUGCACUAUUUUCUUGAAAGAUGGUUUUGGACAUGCAGGAGGACAAAGAAAUGAAAGGGAAGAGUGAAACUGAAACAAGGAAUGAUCUAAGAAGCAAAGGGCUGUGUCUGGUUCCUGUUGAGUUAACCCUACAUGUCGCAGACUCCAAUGGAGCUGAUUUCUGGUUAUCUUCUAUGAUGAACAAUAAUGUUUUGUCAAACUAAAGACUCGCCUCUUCAGCUUUCUCUCUCUAAGUUGGACAUGGCCAAGGAUUUUGCUGAAAAUUUUGCCCUUUUGACAAUACAAGAAAACGAUGAAUUUUGGGUCAUUUGUGGAAAUGAAAAUCCAUUAUGUUCGCCAUUUUGUUCGGUUUAUUCCUAGGUGUGUAAUGGAAAAUGAAUGGUGAAAUAUGGAGUGAAAAAAAAAAAAAAAGAAAUAGAAAAAUCGACCAAAUCGAUGAAACCAAAUAGAGUCAGAUUGGUUUGGUUCAGUUAAUUUUAAUUAUUAAAAAGUUGGAUCGGAUUGGUAUCGGUUUAAACAACCAACCGAUCCAUCAAUUAAUCGGCCCAAUCCUCUAAUACAUUUUUUUUUCAUUCUAAUAUUCAUAUUUUUUAAACUUAAAUAACAAAAUAACCUAAACACAAAUACAAUUUUUUCUCCAAUAAUUUGUUUACCGUCUAUACUUUUUCUACCAAAACUCCAAAUAUCAAUAGGAAAAAAACUUGAAGAAGAAGUGUUAAUGCAAACUUCAAAUUUAGAUUGUAAUCUUACGUUUCAUUUUNNNNNNNNNNNNNNNNNNNNNNNNNNNNNNNNNNNNNNNNNNNNNNNNNNNNNNNNNNNNNNNNNNNNNNNNNNNNNNNNNNNNNNNNNNNNNNNNNNNNNNNNNNNNNNNNNNNNNNNNNNNNNNNNNNNNNNNNNNNNNNNNNNNNNNNNNNNNNNNNNNNNNNNNNNNNNNNNNNNNNNNNNNNNNNNNNNNNNNNNNNNNNNNNNNNNNNNNNNNNNNNNNNNNNNNNNNNNNNNNNNNNNNNNNNNNNNNNNNNNNNNNNNNNNNNNNNNNNNNNNNNNNNNNNNNNNNNNNNNNNNNNNNNNNNNNNNNNNNNNNNNNNNNNNNNNNNNNNNNNNNNNNNNNNNNNNNNNNNNNNNNNNNNNNNNNNNNNNNNNNNNNNNNNNNNNNNNNNNNNNNNNNNNNNNNNNNNNNNNNNNNNNNNNNNNNNNNNNNNNNNNNNNNNNNNNNNNNNNNNNNNNNNNNNNNNNNNNNNNNNNNNNNNNNNNNNNNNNNNNNNNNNNNNNNNNNNNNNNNNNNNNNNNNNNNNNNNNNNNNNNNNNNNNNNNNNNNNNNNNNNNNNNNNNNNNNNNNNNNNNNNNNNNNNNNNNNNNNNNNNNNNNNNNNNNNNNNNNNNNNNNNNNNNNNNNNNNNNNNNNNNNNNNNNNNNNNNNNNNNNNNNNNNNNNNNNNNNNNNNNNNNNNNNNNNNNNNNNNNNNNNNNNNNNNNNNNNNNNNNNNNNNNNNNNNNNNNNNNNNNNNNNNNNNNNNNNNNNNNNNNNNNNNNNNNNNNNNNNNNNNNNNNNNNNNNNNNNNNNNNNNNNNNNNNNNNNNNNNNNNNNNNNNNNNNNNNNNNNNNNNNNNNNNNNNNNNNNNNNNNNNNNNNNNNNNNNNNNNNNNNNNNNNNNNNNNNNNNNNNNNNNNNNNNNNNNNNNNNNNNNNNNNNNNNNNNNNNNNNNNNNNNNNNNNNNNNNNNNNNNNNNNNNNNNNNNNNNNNNNNNNNNNNNNNNNNNNNNNNNNNNNNNNNNNNNNNNNNNNNNNNNNNNNNNNNNNNNNNNNNNNNNNNNNNNNNNNNNNNNNNNNNNNNNNNNNNNNNNNNNNNNNNNNNNNNNNNNNNNNNNNNNNNNNNNNNNNNNNNNNNNNNNNNNNNNNNNNNNNNNNNNNNNNNNNNNNNNNNNNNNNNNNNNNNNNNNNNNNNNNNNNNNNNNNNNNNNNNNNNNNNNNNNNNNNNNNNNNNNNNNNNNNNNNNNNNNNNNNNNNNNNNNNNNNNNNNNNNNNNNNNNNNNNNNNNNNNNNNNNNNNNNNNNNNNNNNNNNNNNNNNNNNNNNNNNNNNNNNNNNNNNNNNNNNNNNNNNNNNNNNNNNNNNNNNNNNNNNNNNNNNNNNNNNNNNNNNNNNNNNNNNNNNNNNNNNNNNNNNNNNNNNNNNNNNNNNNNNNNNNNNNNNNNNNNNNNNNNNNNNNNNNNNNNNNNNNNNNNNNNNNNNNNNNNNNNNNNNNNNNNNNNNNNNNNNNNNNNNNNNNNNNNNNNNNNNNNNNNNNNNNNNNNNNNNNNNNNNNNNNNNNNNNNNNNNNNNNNNNNNNNNNNNNNNNNNNNNNNNNNNNNNNNNNNNNNNNNNNNNNNNNNNNNNNNNNNNNNNNNNNNNNNNNNNNNNNNNNNNNNNNNNNNNNNNNNNNNNNNNNNNNNNNNNNNNNNNNNNNNNNNNNNNNNNNNNNNNNNNNNNNNNNNNNNNNNNNNNNNNNNNNNNNNNNNNNNNNNNNNNNNNNNNNNNNNNNNNNNNNNNNNNNNNNNNNNNNNNNNNNNNNNNNNNNNNNNNNNNNNNNNNNNNNNNNNNNNNNNNNNNNNNNNNNNNNNNNNNNNNNNNNNNNNNNNNNNNNNNNNNNNNNNNNNNNNNNNNNNNNNNNNNNNNNNNNNNNNNNNNNNNNNNNNNNNNNNNNNNNNNNNNNNNNNNNNNNNNNNNNNNNNNNNNNNNNNNNNNNNNNNNNNNNNNNNNNNNNNNNNNNNNNNNNNNNNNNNNNNNNNNNNNNNNNNNNNNNNNNNNNNNNNNNNNNNNNNNNNNNNNNNNNNNNNNNNNNNNNNNNNNNNNNNNNNNNNNNNNNNNNNNNNNNNNNNNNNNNNNNNNNNNNNNNNNNNNNNNNNNNNNNNNNNNNNNNNNNNNNNNNNNNNNNNNNNNNNNNNNNNNNNNNNNNNNNNNNNNNNNNNNNNNNNNNNNNNNNNNNNNNNNNNNNNACCUCGAUGCACGGGGGCCAGUGAUGAUCUGAGAUCUUGUCAACCCGAACUCGACCCAUGAACCCCGAUCACACCAUAAACCCCGAUUUCAAUACUCCCUAAAAACAGCAAAACAAGGUCAGGCAUUUGAGGUCGGGGUAUGUAUGUCGACUCGUCAGCUUUUCUAUACGACCUAUGGGAACACUAAUCCUACUUUGACCACAGUCCCUACCCUGUUAAACUCCUUAUUUGACUCAAACAGUGAUUUGAAUACUUGAGGUAAAACACUAACUCCAUUUCCUACGAGGAUAAGGAUCGUGACAGAAUAAGUCCUUCUAGAACUCCACCGUUAACACCUAUAAAUACACAACUUGUGCUCAUUCUUGAGGUACGUUUUUCAUUAUCUUCAAUUUAUAGCAUCACGCACUUAAUUCCCUAUCUGAUUUAAGCAUCGGAGGGGCGAUGAACACACACCUCCUUGCCUUUGUUGCAGGUAUUCAAAGACCGUCCGUGUUCUUCAAAGUAAAAUUCGAUCAUCAAGUUCGAGAUCUUUCAAGUAAUAUUUUUUGGUAGCAUCAGCCACCAAUAACAAUAUCGAGAGAAGCAUUACAAAAUAUUUCAUAAUAUCAAAACAUAUUUGUUAUUUUAAGUAAAUUAAAUAAUGCUAUUCUGUUUCUAGUAUUUGCUAGGUAUCAAGGGCAAAUCAACCUCAUCACACCACUCAAUACAACGUGUCUCAUAAUAUGAACUAUUUAUGUCAUUGGGCAAGUAGGUCAACCAUACUUGUGCUCCUAUUCUCCAUUUCAACACACUGCCCUCCAUCUCUUUGUUCAAUCUCCACAUAACACUGUCCUUAUAUUCCUCGCCCGAGAAAAUCAAGCCACCGGUUUUAGUGAAUGCUCGGCUGCCUCCGGUGUACCGUUUACGAAAUUGAAUGCCACUGCCGUUUGAUGGCUUCCACGUGGCAAUUUCGGCUCCCGUGGUGUUGUCACAUAAAAUUGCAUCAAAUAUAGCUGCAUUUCCUUCCACAUCUUGGUCCCACCUCCAAUUUCUUAUUUUUGUUCUUGAUUUCAUUGUUGUCAUUGUCUUCACAUUAGGAACUUUUGAUUUUCCGUUAGUACCCUUCAAACUCUUUUGCAUUUCCACCUCUCUUUCCAUAUUGUCAGUUGACUGGCCCAAGCUCAGCCCGCCCACAUAACUUGCACCCACUUCUGGCCCAACCCAGACCCGGACUCUUGAUGGAAAAUACUUCUCAUCCAUCCAAUCAGCAUCCUGAUCAUUUUUCUUAAAUCCUAGUUUCACCACAUGGAACCGCAGGUUGUCGACACAUGCCUUCACUUGGAUAAAUCCGUCGCUGAAUCCGACUGUAUAUUCCAAUUGAAUCACAGCCUCAAGCUGCUGGUGUGCUAGUGCAUACUUCAGCACAGAUUCUCUGGCAUCAAUAAUAGCUGGGAACUGAUUUUUACGUCCAUUAUUACUGAAUUCCAACUGCAUGGAUUUCGCCGGAGAGUAGCCUUUCAGAAUCCAUAACCCAUGAGACUCCAUGGCAUAUGAAAAUCCAAGAUUAUGAGAUGGCAAUGGGGCCAAAGACUGUAGUCCAACCUCAACAUCACUUGAAACCAACCAUUUUGAUGCUAUGUAUCCAAAAGUACGCAUGAAGCAAAUUUCCACGUCCGUUCCUACAGUGAUGAAGAAAUUACGAAGAACGGGACCGGCUUUACGUGAGAAAGUUUCGAGGUUUGGAGCAAGCAAUGAAUGGAAAUACAGGGAGCCAACCUCUGAUGGCGCAUCGCAUGCACAAAGCCAGAAAAGGUGGGCAAGGAAGAUGAAGUUGAAGAAAUUUGAGAAAGAUUCUGGUGAGUGGGAGUCUAGAGUCCAUGAAACUGGCUCGGGUUUCAGCUUUUGGAGCUGUGAACGAGGGCAAGUGCUAUCAUGUGCGGUGGGGGAACGGGAUACAAUCUCUUGAAGGAGUUGGAGUAUUAGAGGCAAGAAUGGCUUGUCUGAAGCCAAGGGACAAAUAUCAGAAGUCCAUAUGAUUAUCUCUGCUGCAAUAGAAGAGUUAGACUCUAGAAAGCGUAUAGAGAAAGUGAGAAAUGAUUCCGACUCAGAUCCAAAUUUUCGCUCUGCUCUGAGUUCAAUAGUUUGCGCUGAAUUGUUCUUGAGUCGGGUAGGGUUGGAAGCUGCAAGUAGGAAAGUUUGAGGUGAGUUUGACUCGCUCCACUCAUCCGAGUUGGGGAGUUCACAUAUCCAUGACCAUAUAUCCAUAUUUUCUUGGUGUAAUAUCCCCUUUCUCUUAAGGAUUUUAUUGUUUAAGAUUCUUGAAUAUGGAGAAGAGUGCUGGGAUUUAUAGAGAGAAUGAGUGAUGCUAAGGUUGCCAACUUGAAAUAAGAUUUGUGGGUUCAAGGGAAUCAAACUUUGUGGUUAUGGAUGAGACUUGUGUGCACCAUUCGAUUCUGCGGUUUUGGUCAUUGGAUGCAUUAAUUGCUUAGAUAAUACUAACAUUCAAGGCUUAUUUUUCUUCUUGAAUUAAUGUAUUUAUUCCCCGUUUUAGUAUAAUAUAAUUUUGGAGCGUUUGAGAAAAAUCGGAAAUUGAGGACCAUAGCCAAAUUUUCUUAUUGUUUUCUUAAUUUAUAUGAUGUAAAUUUGCAAGAAAUCGAGUACAGAAGACUAGGGACAUUGGAUUUUUAGGAAUUGUGGACCAAAUCGUUCACAAGAUCCGUUUUCAAUGAAGUUUGGAGGUAUUGUCAUAUAAGACACGGGAUAUAUGGGAUUUUUCGUAGUUAUGGACGGAAACAUACACAUUGCCAUCUUCUAUAUUUUUCUCGAGAUUAAGUUUUUGCUUGGCUCCUAAAUUAUUUGAUUGAUAAAUUGAUUAGUCUGAAUAUGUGAAGUUUUCACCUCUGUGCAUUUGGAUUUGAAGAAAAUGUUUGCGUGGUUCGUGCAAAAUAAAAGAAGAUGUCGUUUUCCUUUCAUUUUUAUAAUUGAUGAUGAUAUGUGGAAAUUUUACAUGAAAUGAAAGGAACUUUCAUCAUUGUGACAUUGUUGUAUGAAAUUUAAAUAGCAGUUGAUCAGUGCUGUUUAGGUUGGGUGAUCGGUUCUGCUGUGCUAAUGUGCACGCGGCUUACGAUGUUACACGUCCUACAAGACAAUGAGUGAUUAAUGAACUCGUGAACCAUUGACUCUACUUACCUUUGUUGCAUCUUCGACCGCUAAUUUUUUCUUCCAAUAGCUAAUUAUUCUCUUAACUUUUAAAAAUGAGGUGGUUGAUUUUCAUUAUAAUUGCUUAAGUCGAACAUAUUUAAGCCGGGCAUGUUUUUUAAGUGUGCAUAAAUUGUAUGUCCUAUGGAAAUAUGUAAAUAAUAAGUGAUUAAAUUAUGAAUCUUAUGAAAUGUGUGAAUAAAGAAUAUGAUUGAUUAUAACUUAAUGGUAAGAUGAUCAAAGAACAUAAUUAUAACAAAGACUGCUCCAAGGUUCUUUAGAAAAAUGUGAAAUUUUCAAAAUAACAAUAAAAUUGUCAUACAUUUCAUUUUUGUUUGCAAGUUGAGAGCAUUUUCAAUAAAUUCUCUAUUUUUAAAGGACAUAUUCUAUUAUUUGGAGAGUAUUUAUAAAUUUAGAGAGUUAAAAUCUUGAAAUGUUCCAACAAAUUUUGUAUAUUUAACACUUAAUUUUAUUACUCUAAAGAAAUAUUUAUUAAUUUUCUCUAUCUUUUUGUUUUAUUUAACUUUUCUUUAAAUUAUUUUAUUAUUUUUCUAUAUUAAAAAUUGAAAUACUUUGAAUGCAUUUAAUUAUAAAAAGUGAGUUCGACCCACUCUCAAAAUUAAAAUGUUAAUUUGAAGCAUCAUUUUAAAGGUUAACUCUUCAAAAUAGAAAACAUGUUAUGUUUAAAGAAUCUCUUGAAAAAAUUCUAAUACACACAAUUGUUCCAUUACCAUAAAGUGUGCAAAAUCUCAAUAUUGACUAUUGAGCACUGAGAAUAAGGAAUGACGAUCUUCGAGUACAACUUUCUUAGGUUUUGUAUAAUCUCUACAUUUAACAAAAUUACUGCCUCGAACAUCUUUCAAUCCCUAAUAAGUUAUAGACUUUUGAAUUUCUACUUUUAUUUAUUUAUUCUCGUAAUGCAAGGAAAUAGAAUACUCCAACGAAUGUUAUUAAUGAAAUGACGUCCCAUUUUCCCAAAUUUUAAAUAAAUCACACAUACCCCAGAUCUCUUUAGCUUUUGGACAACUCUUCAUGGUAUGUUUCAAGAUCGCGUUCAACUAAUAUAUAAAACACAAUAUGCAUCUAUUAAUAAUUUGCCCUCAUUUGGUCCCCAUUCUUGUCAAAUUUUAAUGGUUGGAAUAAUGUUUUUUUGAAAAAUGUGUGGUUGAAAAAGAAUGAAAAGUUUUUUUUAUUUGCGUGUAAUAUUAUUUUAUGGAAGAUUGUGUGUUUGAAAAUAAGAGAGAGAAAAAGAAUGAUAUGAGAUAAUGGGGGCUAAACGGUGGCAAAAUUCUACGAAUGGAAGGUGUGAAAAAUAACUACAAUUUACCAAUCAUUAUCGUAUUUGUUUGGUAGUAUUUUUAAGUGUUUAUCAAUUAUUAAUAAAUUGUGAGUAUUAAUUUUUUUAGCUUUCGUUUGAGUCACAUUAUUGUAAAAAUAAGAAUGAAAAAUAUAAUCGCUAUGAAUCCCACACAAUAGAUAAAAAGUCAAAUAUGAUCGUUUAAUGUGAUAAAUAAUGAUUAUAUUUUUCAUUUUAAUGAAAAAAUAAUGAGAUUCAGAGAGAUGGCAUUAAUUCAUAAUUUGCCAAAUGCUCAUAAUUAGGUAAGACAAAAGAACAUGCACCUAUAACGUGUGGGUGGUAUCCACUGGUAAUGCGUUUUAGGCUGCGCCACGCAACGCAGUACCCAUCCAUUCACUUGCUUUUUUCUAUAUUUUGUGGCAAGAAACGUUGUUAAUGUUGGAACUAUAAAUUUUUUCGUCCAAAUUUUUUAAAAUAAAAUAUGAUCGAAUAAUUAAUAAAAAUUAUAAAUAUACACUUAAAAUUAGAGUUUAGUCAGUUAAAGCUCUAAUUUUGAACCGGAGUUUAGGGGUCCGAACUGUCUCUUAUGAAGCACGGUUUUCUCAGGCAAGUGCUGCGAAAUCAGCAUCCGUAUAACUUAAAGGUAGGAAAAGCCUGUAAAUAAGGCUUUUUCCCUCUCAGUAACUCCCGUAACUCCAUUCCAAAAAAAAAAGAAAGAGAAAAUAUAUACAUAUAGAGAGAGCAUAUGUAGCUUAAGCUGUCCUGUUCUCUGAAAUUAACUCGAAACAAGAAGCUGAAGCUUCCGUUGUUUACUCCCAUAAAACCCCAUCCUUCUUCUACCCAAUAACCCACCCCACACCCAUACACACACAUUACACAAUCUUCUGGGUAUAUCAAUGGAGGGUACUGGUAGUGAUGGGUUUGAGGAUGAAUAUUUCAAUUUCACUUCAUUUUUUUCAUAUGAUAAUCCUCCGAAAAUGCUGUGUUUUGGAGAUUAUGGCAAAGAAUGUGAUUUGCAGAUUGUGGAGAGUUCUGCUAAAAUGGCUGAAAAAUCUGGAGUUACAUGCAGUGAUUCAUCCUCCACUUCUUCAACAAAUUAUGCACUGCCAAAAUCCAAGAAGAGAGAUGGGUCGGGUAGUGCAGAAUUCACUCUGAACUCCGGCGUUAAUUCCGGAGCUCUGGCAGGAACCCAGAAAUACCGUAAGAAAACCAAGUCGACAAACUCAACUGUGAUCUCCGGCCAAUCGAAGGUCAGUCGAGACUAGAAUUGCAUGUAAAGGGAGACUAAAUCUAAAUACAUUUACGUUGCUCAAAUGCUUAACAUUUUACAAGGUUUGGCAAAAUAUAGGAAAAGAAAGAGAAGCUUGGUGAAAGAAUCACAGCGUUGCAGCAACUUGUGUCACCCUUUGGCAAAGUUUGAUUCAUUUUAUUAAUUUACAAAUAUAUUAAUUAGUUUAAUUACAUUUUUCUCUUUACUCUUCCUUUUACACAAAUCAAAUUGUGGAAAUACAUACUUGGAAAUUGAUUGCACAGACAGAUACAGCAUCAGUGCUUCAUGACGCAAUGGGUUACAUAAGAUUUCUGCAAGAUCAGGUUCGGGUUCUAUGUUCUCCAUACAUGCACUCUCUGCCUGUAAGUAUUUUUUAUCACCCCUCAAAUACGCAUAUAGACCUUGUUUGGUAGAGAUGAAUAUCAUAUUUUGAUAAACGUUGAUAAAAUAUGUGAUUGAAAAGUUGUGAAUCCUAUAAGAUAUAUGAUUAAAUUUAAUGAUUGACUUUAACUUAGAUUUUAAUCAGGUUUUUAAGCAAUACCAAACUGGGUUAUUCUCAGCACCUGAUGAUCCUUCCCAUUAGCCUUUAUCUAACAACUUGGAGAGUGUUUGGUACAGUCUAGUACUACAUGACCGUAGAUUGGAUAAUACAAUUGAGAAAAAAAUUUAUUUGUUUUGAUUUUAUUUAAUACUGUUCAAUAUUGUUGAGCCUAUAUUAUAACGAUAUUGUGAGGCAUGGGACAUGAACAACAUCGGAGCAACAGUGUUAUAGCAUCGCGUCUAGACAUUAUUUAUGUAAAUUGUACAUAUAUAGCAGACUUUUAAUGAUAAAAUGAAUCAGCAUGCAUAACUGUAUAAUGUUAUCAUUUGUUCAUUGGAUUCAAUCUAAUUUUCAGUUUUAAUGUUUAUGCAAUAUUUCCAGUUAAUUUUACGUGUUAAAAAACUAAAGUUUAGAAAUUAGUAAUUUUGAGGGGAAAAAAACAAAUUCUGAAGUUCUAUCAAUGAGCUCAAUCCUAUCUAUUUAAUUGAUCAUUGCACUAUUUUCUUGAAAGAUGGUUUUGGACAUGCAGGAGGACAAAGAAAUGAAAGGGGAGAGUGAAACUGAAACAAGGAAUGAUCUAAGAAGCAAAGGGCUGUGUCUGGUUCCUGUUGAGUUAACCCUACAUGUUGCAGACUCCAAUGGAGCUGAUUUCUGGUUAUCUUCUAUGAUGAACAAUAAUGUUUUGUCAAACUAAAGACUCGCCUCUUCAGCUUUCUCUCUCUAAGUUGGACAUGGCCAAGGAUUUUGCUGAAAAUUUUGCCCUUUUGACAAUACAAGAAAACGAUGAAUUUUGGGUCGUUUGUGGAAAUGAAAAUCCAUUAUGUUCGCCAUUUUGUUCGGUUUAUUCCUAGAUGUGUAAUGGAAAAUGAAUGGUGAAAUAUGGAGUGAAAAAAAGAAAGAAAAGAAAUAGAAAAAUCGACCAAAUCGAUGAAACCAAAUAGAGUCAGAUUGGUUUGGUUCAGUUAAUUUUAAUUAUUAAAAAGUUGGAUCGGAUUGGUAUCGGUUUAAACAACCAACCGAUCCAUCAAUUAAUCGGCCCAAUCCUCUAAUACAUUUUUUUUUCAUUCUAAUAUUCAUAUUUUUUAAACUUAAAUAACAAAAUAACCUAAACACAAAUACAAUUUUUUCUCCAAUAAUUUGUUUACCGUCUAUACUUUUUCUACCAAAACUCCAAAUAUCAAUAGGAAAAAAACUUGAAGAAGAAGUGUUAAUGCAAACUUCAAAUUUAGAUUGUAAUCUUACGUUUCAUUUUUGUGUAAUUAUUUGUAGGUAACUAUCAUAUAUUUAUAUGUUAAUUUUGGAAACUUUGACCCUUUACCAUUUACAUUAUAUAUUAUUAUUAUUAUUAUUGAUAUGCACUAUGCCAGUUAAAAAAAUAUAUGUGCAUAGGAAAGCAAAAUUUUUUAUCCAAAAUUGGCAAGCAAUUUUUUGUUUUUGUUUUUGGGAACAUUGACCCUUUACCAUUUACAUUAUAUAUAUUAUUAUUAUUGAUAUGCACAACGCCAGUUAAAAAUAUAUAUGUGCAUAGGAAAGCAAAAUUUUUUAUCCAAAACUGGCAAGCAAUUUUUUUUUUUUUUUUUUUUUUAAUUCGUACCAAUGUCCAAACUGAUUAACCAAACGCUUGGUUCAAUUUUAACGAUUAAAUUGGGUUGGUUUAAGUUGGGAUUUACUCAAACCAAUCAAGUUAGUUUUGAUCUUGAAUUGGACUCAAACCAAUCUUACACGGACCAUGCUCAAGCCUACUUUUGUAUUUGCAUUUUAUUGAAGGUGUCUUUUUAUAAUGCAUUUUCAUUCAAGCAAAUGAAAUGCAAAUAUUGAUAGGCGGACUAAACUAUACUAUUGAAAAAGAAUUCAUUAGUGUGCUUAGCCUCUAUUUGUCAUCAUUUACUUUACAUUCUUUUCCAUUAUAUUUUUAUAGUACUCAUUUUUAACCACAUACUUUUCACUAAAAUAAUACUAUACGUAAAUUUAAAACUUUUUUUUUAACCACACAUUCUCCAUCAAUCACUAUUCUAUAAUACAUUUCUUCAAGUUUCGGGGCUCAAAUAGGGCCUUAAUGAAUUUACUGGACGGAGUACAUACCACAAUUUCAUUAGUCUACUUCAUUAAAAAAAAAAAAAAAAAAAAGUUGAGAAUUCAUUGGGGUAUAUGUUUACUCUGAAUUGUCAGUGAAAAAAAUGUCCACACCAAAUCAUGAGUUGUUAGGGCAUUUGGAGUUAUAAAAAAUCAAUUAAAAUUCAAGUUGGCGAGGCCUCUUAAACUUUAUUAGUCCCAGUCUCGAUUGGAUCGCCUCGAACAACAUAAUUCACUUCUUUGAUUCGCGGAUUCGUUCCUCCCGACAGAAAGAGUUGAGAACACUUGCUAAUAAAAAAAGGGAAAUUUUUAUAUCUAAAAAGUUAAGUAUUACUCGUUUCAAAACUAAGAAUAAAUUAUUCAAAUUUUAAAAAUCAUAUUUCUUUUAUAAAUUAACUUAUUAAACAUAUUUUUAUUAAUAAGAUAUAUUAAUGUCACAAUUUUAUACAAUUUGAUCACAAUUUAUGUAUUAUCUAGUUACGAAUUAAUUUUCAAUCACAAAUAAUUUUUUUUAUAGGUCACAGAUUAUUUAUCGAUUACAAAUAAAUUUUUUUAUAAGUUACAGAUUAUUUAUUGAUCAUAAGAUCAAAAUUUUUUAUUAGUCGCAACUCAUUUAUUCAUUACAAAUUAUUAGAUUAAUUGAUAACAAUUAAUUUUUCAAUCACAAGUUAAUCAAUUGUGAGUUACAGUUAUAAUAUUUAGAUCACAUAUUACAAAUUAGCCAAUUAUUGGUCAUAAUCAACCAAAUAAUUGGUCACAAGCAUCCAACCCAUCUCAUCCGACCCAUCACCUUCGCCAUGAUAGCCACCAUCACUAUCACCAUCAGACCUCGCAAAGCCACAACAGUUGCCCAAACACUAAUGAAAUCGUCACAACUUUAUCCAACCACCAACAAAAUCAUCGCCGCUACCAAUAAACCACUGCCACCAUUGCCAUCCAACAUACCAAAACCAGACCAAUGCUUAUUCCACCACCAUCACCAACUGUAACAAUACCUGCGCAACCCAACACUGCAUCACUACCACUACCACUACCAUUGCACGACUGCAUAGUUCGUCCCAGUCCGUCGCCGCCGCUGUUGUCGCUAUCGCCACCAACAACCACAACCACCCUUUCUCUUUUUCAGUUCUGAUCUGCAGCAACCACAACCAAAUUGCAUCACCCAUGCCAUCCCACACACGAAGCACCUACCUACAACCACACCACCACAAUUGUCGACCACCGCACAAUAGAUCAAAUCAAAAAUAAAAAACCGAUGAGGACAUCACUUGAUUGGAUCAUCAUAUUUUCUUGUGGAUCAUUUACUUAUGUUUUAUUUCAUUGGGCUUGUAUAAUGGGUUUGGCCCCAACUCCUUUUCGUUUUGUUGUUACUUGAGACAGUUGAUGAUUAUGAUAAAUUGAAAUUGAUUUUGGCUUGUAGCCAAUGUUCUCCCUUCUCCUUUCCCCCUGAAUUUCCGCUUCUUCUCCGGUUUCUUCUCCUUUCUUGCUGCCUUUUCGUUUAUCCUACAUCAAAUUUGGUAUCAAAGUCGAAACUUGGAUAAUUUCUCAUCUACAAUCCAAAAACUUUCUUCUUAUCUUCUUUCCAAAAACUUAAAAGAGCAGGACAAACAAAAGAAUUUGUUGUGAGAGCAGCAGUUUUCAUUUUUUUUUUGCAGUUUCUUUCUUAGUUAAAAAAAGAGAGAAAAAAGAAAGAAAGAGAGAGUUACUAUUCGCACUCGGAAAAAAAAUAAUUUUAGUAUUUUCAUCAUUUUCUGAAAAAAAAACCUUCUGCUGUCGUAAAUUUAUUUGCUACUCAUUCUAAAUUACGUCGUUGUUCCCUACCCUAGUCCCAAUACAAUACUUAGUUGGGCCCUUUUUUUCCCCAAAAUCAUUAACCCAUUACUCAGCCUCAAUUCCUACAAAGCCCAAUCCCACGUUCGGUCCAAACAUCCGAACAAUUAAACACAUAAUUCAAAUCUCAAAUACACAGGGCCUAACAAUUCCUAAACCUAUGCACCAACACGGCCCAAAUCGUUUAUCACCUUCAAUUAGGGAUGUCAAACGGGCCAAACGGCUCAUUGGCUCGUUAAAACUCGGCCUGAGCCGAGCGGGGGGCUCAAUCCCACGACCCGAGUCUGCUCGACUCGUCGAGCCUACGAGCUCGUAAAAAAAUGUAAAUUUAUAAAAAAAAUAAAAAAUGUGCAAAUUUACAAAAAAAAAUAGAAAAAUUAAAAAAAUCACGAGCUUGCGAGCGGCUCGUGGGCUCGGCUAGGCUUGACCCACGAGCUCGUGGCGGCUCGUCUUUGACUAGCCCGAGCCGAACUCGUGGGUUAAAGGAUCGAGCCGGCUCGGCUUGGCCCAUUGCCAUCACUACAUUGCCCAAAUUCUACCCCACAGUUCCACCCCCUUCAAUAUCCUAGACACCUAUAUCUCUAUGACGUCGGCAACCAUCCAAUGCAUUUUGCGUUGACGUCUCCCACGUCAGCAACCCGUCCACUCACAAUCGCCUAACUAUUAAUCGCCCGUUUUCCACCAAAAUCACACACGACUCCCCCCGACUACUAUCCAUCCCAUUGCGGAUCCCGCCAACAUCUUCCAUGCUGGCGCCACCAUCUGCCUCAACACCCAUCUCUACUCUAGCCAUCUCCACCCGUCGCUGCCAACAUCUCCAACCCCAGCAUCUCAAACCAUCACCCAUCACACCGACUGCUCAAUCUCACAAUCAGACCCCACACAAAUCAAUACUCACCUCCCGAUUCACACUCGUACUCACUUCAUAUACACAACCCACCAUCGCUAUACACAAAGCCACCACAACAACCACCAAUCAUCCAUUAAUAUCAACAAAUACAAAAUAAGCACACUUCCAUCUUUAAAAAAAAAAAAGAACAAUAAUCAACAACCACUCUCUCAUACUUUUUCACCACACCAAAGUGACAGUCACCACAAAAUAAGUACACUGCUGCUUUACAAGAUGCACUUGGAGUGAUUUCUGAAGUGGAAGACAUCUGAAACAAAGGAUAGAAUAGAAGCAUACUUGGGGCCCACUCAUUGGCAAUUUAGACCAAUCGAAAUACAGGGAGUCACAACUGGACUACAACUAUCGCCACCACCGCCGACCACCGCACAAUCGAUCGAAUUAAAAACAAAAAAAACCCCUAAAAAAAUCGAGGCGAUGUUGCAGAUUCGGGAAGCAGCAGCACUGCUUCAUGGUGCUCCCUCAGCUAUGAUCACUGCACCUUGCCGCCGCCGAUGAGGAUGGUUUCGAUAUCGAAUGAGGGAGGAGAAGAAGAGAAGAAUAGAGACUGAGAAGAGAGAAGGAGAAAGAGGAGGAGAAAUGUUUUUUACGGUUGGGUAAAUGUAUUAGGGUUGAAAUAUCUUAUUUGUGAUAAGUGAAACCUUCCAUCUGAUUUUAGAACACAAAUCUUUAAAAGUAGGGUUUGGUAAUUUCCACAUAUAAAAAUCAUAUAAUGCUACUUUGCUAGAAAGUAGGUGACAUAAUGAUUGAGAUAAUAGGUGCUGACAAUAUGUGAUUAGUUGAAAAGUUGAUUGUAUUUUAAACAAUUCAAUAACAAAUUGUUACGUGAUAUUUAUGUAUACAUUUAUGUAGCAUGAUCGUAAAAUAUAACCUGACUUAUUGCCGGAUCACCCAUCACCAGUAGGUCAUUCCACCAAUUUGAGCUAAAAUCGCAAAUAUGAGAACGCAAUCCGCAAAUCGUUGUGUUGUAUACAUUCUAGAGCGACUCUAGUUAAGCCCCUGUUUGACCCCCAUUACCUGAAAAUGAAAAUGGGGGGAAUAAUAAUUUUUAGAAAAAUGAGUGGUUGAAAAAGAAGGAAAAAUUUUCGAUUUACGUGUAAUAUUAUUUUAUGAAAGAUUGUGUGAUUGAAAAUAGGAAAGAGAAAAAUGAAAUAUAAUGUAAUUGAAUUUAAUAGGGAUCAAACGGGCACUACAGGCAAUCUCGCCCCGCUCCCGCAAAUGGUCGAUCGGUGGUUAAAUAUAAAUUCAAAAUUAAGAAAAUUUCCUAUUCAUUUCAAAUGCUUUCUUUGCAAGUUUCUUAACAUUUUUUAAAUCUCUGAACCUCAAAAUGCAAUUGCAUAAUUCGUGAUUCGUGAAGAUGAGUUUCGAUUCGACUCGCUCCGGAAACUCUGUUUCGAAUUCGAAACGGAGCUUCAAUUCAAUCUCUUCAAAUCCUUCUAACAAAGCCAGUAGUAGUGGUGCUAAAAGUACGAAGAAUGAUAAGAAGAAGAAGAAUACGAACCAGAAAACCCUAGGCAUGGCUUGGGGAGCCAAUUCUCGCUCUUCCUCUCGCUCCGCCUUUCGUAAUUCCCCCUUCUCCGAUUUCGGCAGGUCCCGUCCCUCUUCUCUGUGUGUGUGUGUGAGUGCUGAGCAGGUUUUAGAAGUUGCUUUUAUAGAAGUUAAGAAAGUAAUUUAAGAAGUUUUAUUGAUAAUUAACUGUAGGUUUCGUUGAUUAUUAAAUGGCAAUUUCAAUAAAUAUAAAGAUGAAGCUACUUGAAAUCUCGAUAAUAUGGAUUUCUGCAUGAGUAGAGGUAUUGUUGUUUAUGAACAAGAUUGCACGUAACUUUUCAUUGAAAACUUAGGUUGCCGAUGUUUUGCAGAAAAAAUACGGAUACGAGGUAUGCCUUGUAGUUUUAAGGGAACCAGGAAUUUGUAUCUUGUUGAUGCUUUCUGAGAAUUUCUGGUGUUUAAAGAGUUUGGCAGUAUUUGGCAAUUACCUGAUUUUUUAGUUGUUUGGACUCUUUGGUCUAUGAACUCACAAUGUAUUGUUACUUCCACAGUACUGGUUCACUAUUUUAUUGUUUAUGUUAUGACCAGUAUGCUAAUAUGGAUGGAGAAAAUUCUAAAUUAUAUUUACUUUGCAAUACGUUAUGUGUGUCCUUUGCUGCAUUUGCUUCUUUACGUAAUGUCUCUAGUCAUGUUACUGAAUCUUUCAUACUCGUGCUUGCGUGAUACUUGCAGAUAUACAAGUGUCAUUAGUUCUACAAUUAUAAUUUUUGAUUUUAAGAAUAUUGUAUCGCUUUCUUUAACAGAUACAGAUAAUAUGUUCAAUUGUUGUUUCUCCCCAAUCCUCUUUCAUUUAUAUUAUUUUGUUUUUCGAUGUAAGUCUCUUUUCAUUAUUCGUUCAAUUUUUCUUUUCCUAAUCCUCUUUUAAUUAUUUUCUUUUCAUUUUGGAUGUAAGUCUCUUUUCAUUAUUCGUUUGUUAAUUAUGAAUAUAUAAUAUUUUUAGUUUUGCUUUGGUCUUUGAUUGUUUUUGGCUACUUGGGGUGUAGUUACAUGGUUUUGAAGAAUAAAAAACUACGCGAACAGUUUGAUGCUGAGGCUUCAAGCUCUUCUCAAAGUGGUUCUGCUUCUGGGAAAUCCAUAUUUCAUGGGGUUUCGAUUUUUGUGGAUGGAUAUACUGUCCCAUCUAGUCAGGUUUGAUUUGUACUCUCUGUUUUUAUUAUAUAGAUGUAUUGGAUUGCUUAACCUUGUUUUGUUUGGAUUCACACAGUCCAUUGUAUUAAAUAUGUUCAUGCAAUUCAAGAAUUUUAAUUAAAGUUGAGAAGAACGCUCAAGGUUGAAACUACAAAUUUGUGAAGAUUAAAACUAAGUAUAGGAGUUAUUUUAGACAUUCCUUUUAAUCUUUAAACGCUCUUUUUUUUUUUUUUUCCUUCAAAAAAUCAUUACUUCUCUUAUUGUGUUUAGUAAUGUGGACACAAUUUUCUUUUUUUUUUUUUCACUUUUUUUUUUUUUUUUUUUUGCAGGAACUUCGAGGUUACAUGUUAAAGUAUGGAGGACGAUUCGAGAAUUAUUUUUCAAGGCAUCGUGUUACUCAUAUAAUCUGCAGUAAUCUCCCUGACAGUAAAAUCAAGAAUUUGAGGUUCACCUUGUCUUUGUAUGUCAAACUGAUGCAUUGAUGUUUUUGGUACUUUAACAAAUUUCUGUUUGUGAAUUUGAUACAGGUCAUUCAGUGGUGGGCUUCCAGUAGUUAAACCUACCUGGGUGCAAGAUUCAGUUGCUGCUAAUAAACUUUUGAGUUGUACGUCAUAUUUAGAGUUGAUACUUUCGUUUAAAUUUAGGUUUACUUCACUGUACUCACAAUCAACUUCUGAAAUUCGUUUUUGUAAUGAACGCUUCUUCUAAAUCUAUGAAUGGAAAAUGUGGGAGAAAACCUGAGAAAGAACUCAUUAUUAGUCUUUUUUCAAUUUUUAAUAGCAAUAGAGUAGGAUUUGGAAAGAAAGUAAUUCAAAGACUAAUACUUUUUGAUCUACUAUCAUUUCUGUUCUUUAAAUUUGUAGGUUUUUCAGCAUUCAUGACCUUAGUUACCUGGAAUACUAUUUUAGCAGAUUAUGAAUUAAUAUUAUUUUCCUAGACGUGGUCUUCCAGCAUCUCAGGGUACAUAGAAUAUCUUCUCACUCAUUCUCUCACCAGCUUAUCUGUUUGGACAGAACUGUAUCAAGAGGUGGAAUACUCUUAACUCGUGAUGACAACGAGCUAGCUUAUAGUAUAACUUGAACUUUUCAAAAAAUAUUGAAGUGAUUUAUUAAACACAGGUGGCAAAUUGCUCCCAAGUCCUAACCUCCUUCCUGGGACAAAGAUAUAUCCAAGCAAUAGUUAAAGUAGGUUCAUGAAAACCUGUUGUAGGAUUUCACUGCUUCUGCAUAUUUGUAGGUCUGCUGAUUUGCUUUUCAUACUAGAGAAGAUUAUUAAAAGAUUGCCAGUAAAAAUUUGAGGGCAUCAAUCAAUGUCACUCUGGUUGUUUUGGUUUGCCUGUAGGGAUCCCUUAUCAACUCCAACAGCUGGCAAGUGAAGUUCAUAACCAACCAAAACUAUCUGCUUUCUUUCCUCUGAAAAACGUCCAAGAUUCUGAUGAUGUAGCCCCAAAUCUUGGCAAUCAAGUAAUUUCUGAAACUAAGAAUUCAUCAUUGGAGGAUAGGGCUUUGAUGGUUGCCAAUUGUCCCGAACAGUGUGAUUCUACAGAACAAGUGGACCAAUGCAGUCCAGAAUUUGAUGGCCUUUUGCACGUGGGCCCUACCGAAAUGAUACUAGAAAUGCCUGCUUGUAGUGUAGGCAGCCAUUGUGAACCGAAAGGUGCUGAACUCUAUGAUAUUUCCAGGUUAGACAGGAUCAAUACAGGAUUUGAACCCAAGUCUAGUAGUUCAUGUCAGGCUUCUGCUUCAGUUUGCAGUGGCAUCCCUGAUGAUCAUAAUUUUAAAGAAUCGUCAAGUUCAAGAAUCAGUUUAGCUUCUAAUCAGCCUCAUUCAACUCUUGUAGAUCCUGAUUUUGUUGAAAAUUAUUUUAAGGUAAGAACUUGUUCUACUUUUGAGCUUGUCAGGUUUAGUGUAUUGAUUUUUUUAUUUUUUAUUUUCUUUUUAAAUUUUGGACUAUCUGUAAUAUUCUCUUUCUGUACAACCUACUAUGAUUUUCUGUGGCCUGACAUUAUGUACUUUAUUGUUAAACUUAUAAUUUUACCUGCUAUUUUCAUUUCAUUUUCGUUCGUUAUCAGGUUACUUUCUCUUAGUUGCACUUAUAUUUGGGUUAAACUUAUCUUAGUUUCUAGUAUUUAACUUUGGUAUCCAAUCAGUCUCACAUCUGAGGAAAUGUUCUGUAUUUAUUUUCCAUGUUGUGUUAUGAUUUAUUUAAAUGUUUGUUGAUAUUGCUUCAGUUUAUUUGAAUGUCAAAAUUUAGUAUUUUAGCCGUUCUAAAUUUAUUGGGGAACACAGACACAUUAUCCAUGACUGCUUGGCUUCAAACUAACUAAUCUAACAUUAUUAAAAUCUUUCAACCUUUGUGUUUGAACCAUUCACAGCUGUACCCUAAUUAACUUUUGGAUGUUCUAGAACUCUAGGCUGCAUUUUAUUGGAACUUGGAGAAAUCGGUACCGAAAGCGUUUUCACAGCUCAUCUGAUGGGUUUAGAGACAAAAGUUCUUGUCUCAACGCCUCUGCAGUGGUUCACAAGACUGCCAUAAUACAUGUUGACAUGGUAAGUUUCUGUAUUAGAGGGAUUGUGAUCGUUUUCACAUGAGUUCUUUACCCCCCUCCCCCCAGUGACCCAAGAAAAUAUCAUGUGUUUCUUCUUUAUAAAGGUAUUUUGAUUGAAAAUAUUCUAUUCCAGGAUUGCUUCUUCGUAGCAGUGGUCAUCAAGAACCAUCCCGAAUUACAAGACAAACCUGUUGCUGUUUGCCAUUCAGAUAGUCCCCGCGGAACUGCUGAAAUAUCAUCUGCCAAUUAUCCUGCUCGAGAUUAUGGUGGGGCUUGUGUCCUGAAACUUUAUUUUUGUUUUGGUUUCAUAUGCAUUUUGUGACUUGUAUGCUUCUAGGAAUCAAGGCUGGAAUGUUUGUUAAAGAUGCCAAGGCACGUUGCCCUCAUCUUGUAAUUGUUCAUUAUGAUUUUGGAGCUUAUGAGAAGGUAUCUGUUCAACCGUCUUACUUUAAUUAUAUAAUUUUUGCUAAGGCAUGAUAUUUAUUUGCACCUACUGCUAUUUCUUCAUAUAUGUCAUUUUGCAUAGCGAUCAUUUGGAUUCGUUUGAUUUCUUGGUUUACAGGUGGCAGAUCAAUUUUAUGACAUUCUGCAUAAACACUGCAACAAAGUGCAGGUCUGCAUUCGAAAAUGCAUUUCAAAGCUAUAUCCUGUUUCUGUUUUCCAGUUUUGAAAAUGCAAUUUUAUCUUAAUGCAGGCUGUCAGUUGUGAUGAAGCAUUUCUUGAUGUCACCAACUCAAGAGUGGAGGAUCCCCAGCUUUUAGCUUCAGUAAUCAGAAAAGAGAUUUUAGACACUACAGGAUGCACUGCAAGUGCAGGGAUUGCAGAAAAUAUGCUUAUGGCCCGUCUUGCUACAAAAACUGCAAAACCGGAUGGCCAAUGUUACAUUUCUCCUGAGAAGGUGUGACCCUCUGUUAUAGAUGCAAGUUCUAUUUUUUUUUUCUUUUUCAUUUUUUUUUUAAUUCCAUCACCAUAUGUUAUUUUCAUCGUUCCAUUUGCCUAUAUUUCUCCUGGUGUUAAAUUAGUUUAUACUUGGAGUGUGUUUAACGUGAUCUUCUGGUUUGCCUUCUGGUCUUGGUAUUCUUUUUAUGCUGCCUAGUUGACAUUGUUAAUUUAUGUCUUUUUCAUUUGAAAGAGGUGGGGUUGGGGGAUGGGGAUUCCAUAUUAUUUCUGCUGAUGUUCAUUGUCAGUUGCGAAGUGAAUUAAGUAUUGCUAUCCACUGUUUCCUCAAGCAGGUAGUAACUUUGGCAUUAUAUCUUGCAAACUUGAAAUAAUAAUCCUUAUAAAGUAAUUUUGUUUCUGUAUGGUGCCUCUUUUUUUUUAAUAUAAACAAAUCCCACGUGGCCAUCCUAGCAUUGAGAAGUACAGAAAUUUCUGGUGGUCCCCAACUUUUUUUGUCAUGCGAUUUUUGCAAAAUUAUCAAAGUUGAAAUUAAUAAAAUUAGAAUCAUCUUUCUGUGAUACAUUGAAAGUUUUUACGAUGAUAUGAUACCUUUCAGUCCAACUUCUCUCAUGUUGUACUCCAAAAUGAUCAAUAUAACUUUGGUUGAGGUGCUGGGUUGUGGGGACUGGUGAGGUGAGCUCUUCCCACAGCUUUUACUGAUGUAGAACUGUUUGGAAUUUUGUAAUUCAAUUAUUUAGUGUUUUUACUCUACUUUUGGGUCCCUGUUUUGCUUGUGGUCCUUUGAACUCUUAUGGAAUUUUUUUCUGAUUAUAAAUCUCUUGCUAAUUAAGCCCCUGUUUGGCUCAGAUUUUAAUCUGAAUCAAAGUCAAACAAUCAAACAUUAACCGCAUCUUUCAUGGGUCCCACAAUUUUUCAAUUAGAUAUUUAAAAAACUUCUAUCAAAAUCUACAAAAAAUCUAAUUUUAAUCCACAACAAACACUGAGUUUUUUAGUAGAUCUUUUUGUCUCUUCUUUGGAUGUAUGAGUUGUCAAACUUCAUUGGAAACCGUGUAUCAUGAUUCAAACUUGCCUAUCGUUACUUGGCGAUGCUAAAAUUUAAUCCUGAUACAUUCUCACAUGUCAAUCUACUUACAUUACUCGGAGUUAGAACAUUAUUUCUUUUCUAUUACUUUUUUACUGCUAUAUGCUGCCCAACACGUCAAAGAAGUGGGCUGAAAAAGGUUAUAGAAGCAUGAAAUUCAAAAACUGAAAAGGAAGAUGAUGAAGGAUACUGAGGUUAAAGAUCAAUUUCAGUACAUCUCACUGAUUAUGUCUAGUUGAGUUUUCAGGUGAAUGAUUAUUUAUGUGAACUUCCAGUCAGAGUACUGCCUGGAAUUGGUCAUGUUUUGGCAGAGAAGUUGAAAAAAAGGCAAAUUGAAACUUGUGGACGGCUGCACGUGAUAUCCAAGGUAAACUUUUGGUUUAGAUGGAUCAUGAUGUCAUUUGUUGGUGCAUUAAUACAACUCAUGAGCACAAAAUGAACUGAAGUAUCAAAUAACUAAUGCUCCAUUUGGCCAAAUUUUGUAAAUCAUUAUAUAUGGUCAAACUUUAUUUUCAACCAAACAUUCCAAUGGACUCACAAGUACUAUACACUUAUCCACUACUCAUUUCAAUUUAUUUAUAAAUUAAACUGUUAAAAAAUUCUUCCCGAAUGGAGGCCGAAUGUCAAACAUUGUAGAUAAUGUUGUUUGUUUAGUUAUUUUCAAAAAGACUUAAAUUUUCUACAUCCAGCAAUUGGCUAAUUAUGGGAUGUACCACUUCGGAACUUUUCAGGCUUCAAUGCUUAACUAUUUUACCUAUUUGCUUUAAAUUUUUAAUGUGCCUUCAUUCUCUUUCUCUACCUGCUAAUAUAGUAUCUGAAGUGGCUUUUACAAGUCUGCAGUUGUGUGUGUGUGUCUAUUUUUGAAUUUCACUUGCUACUACUGAAGGAAAAUAUAAUAUUCAAAGAACUAGUUCUAUAGUACAACAUUUUAAUUUUAGAUUUCGUCUCUGUGAUGUUUCCAGGAAUCUCUUCAAAAGGAGUUCGGUGUGAAAACUGGAGAUAUGCUCUGGAAUUAUAGUAGAGGGAUCGACAAUCGACAUGUUGGCGUGAUUAAGGUCAGUAACCACUAUCUUUAUUUUGCUCCUUCUAUGAUUGUACUACAGCAGAAGGCAUUCAGUAUUUUUCCCAUGCUGUUCAACUAACAUUCUGACAUUGCUAUGUUAGUGAGGUCUGUCAUGUAUAGUUGGUGUGUGAGUCCCUGGCUUCAGAGUAGUAGUGAAGCCAGCAUAAUAUGCUAUUAUCAUCUAAGAUAUGGGAUGUAUGGAUGUGAGAAGUUAUUGAGUAUAUUAUGGAGAAAUUAGAGCAAGUUGUUUCUUUCGAAUGCUACAGAAAGAUCAUAAGAACUGUCAUUCUUUGUUUGAUAGAAUAGGCUAAACUGCUUAUACUUUCCAUUCAUCACAGCAAGUGGCACAGAGCAGACAACAAUCAUUUCUUAGACUAGGCAAACUUUCUCGUACUUUUCAGUCACGUGGCACUUGCUUCGGUUAUGUAAAGCUUAAUAUACGGAAGCCUAACUAUACUUAUAUUUUGACGUUUUUGCAGGAAAGCAAAUCUAUAGGCGCUGAAGUGAACUGGGGUGUGAGGUUCAGGAAUACAAAUGAUGUCUGUAGUCUAUUGUGGAAUUGAUUUUCUUUUACCUUUCUGUAAAGUAUUAAUAGUGCUUUUGAUUUCAGACUCAACGCUUCUUGACAAACCUAUGCAAGGAGGUUUCAUUGCGAUUGCAGGGAUGUGGAGUGUUAGGUCGCUCUUUUACCCUAAAGGUUUGGCCAUAUGUUGUUAUUGAAAGUUCUCAUGACGAGUGACAUCAUGGGGCCUGCAUGCGACUACUUUAUCAUUACUGAAAAUUUCUCAAAUUUAACACAUUGAAGAAAAAUUACGUUAAUUUGACCAAUGGCAUUAUGUAGAUAAAGAAGAGACGAAGUGAUGCUGGCGAGCCAAUAAAGUAUAUGGGCCAUGGAGACUGUGAGAACCUUAGCCAUUCCAUUACGGUAUAUAACAUUAUUACAUCAACAUUUUUUUUCUGGAUCCAUGGUAUGACGUUGCCAUUCUUUUUUAUAUAAAAGCAUUCUUGAACGACAGAUUCCGAUGGCCACAGAUGAACUGGAUGUGCUUCAGAGGAUAACCACUAAGCUUUUUGGAUAUUUUCAAAUAGGUAAGUUGGGCUCAUUGAUCUUUUUCCAUUAUCACGCUAUUAAUAUAAUUCGCUAUUUGCAGACCUUUCUUUUGGGACUGAGUGCACUGAAAAUUGAAUUAGCGUAUGCCUGCCAAAUGGUUUGAAGAUGGAUGCUUUAACAAGAAGCUUCUGACUCGUUCUUACCAGAAAUACAGCCAUUAUAUUUCUUUCACUUAAUAGUAGGCUCAGUUUAAAUUGACAAAGCCAUGUGAAGAAUUUCCCUUUUGUCCUUUAUUCAUUUGUUUAUUCCAGAUAUUGAUAAAUUUAUUGUAUCUUUAAAUGAUAAAGCUAAACCACUUUUUCAUCUGGGUCGUUUUCAUUAAUUUUCUUUUCCUGGGAUGGCAAGUUUUAGUGCCUACUUGGCAGAAUUUUAAAUAUCCACAUAUUGUGUACAUGGACAUUGAAUUCCAAAAUGCCAUUUGAUCAAGUAUCUCCUCUCCCUGACAAGGAGAUUCAUCACUCAAAAAGCUAGUACGAACGUUCCUUGCUUCUUGAAUACUUUGGUAUCAUGUGUAAUAAUGCAUUCUUCUCUUCAAAUUUUUUGAUCUGAUGUAUUUUUAUUUUUAUUUUUAUAAAUUCUAUCAGUGAUCUGCAUAUUUACAAAACUAUCAUCAUGCUGUUAUAUGUAUUUUUUGAAUUCUUGCUUUUCUAAUCCUCAAGAGAGUUUGUUUGGUUGUAUAAACUAUCAUGUCUCUUUCCCUUACUUAGCAGUAGGAUGACCAUAUACUUUAUCUUUGAAUUGUUUGAUAUUUUCUUUAUUUUUUUUUGGAUAUUUUGUUAUUUUUAGUUUUUGCUUUUUGAAAUUCAAUUUUAGCCCAUGUUUGAGCCCCAUUACAUUAAAUUCUAUUACAUUUCAUUUUUCUCUCUCCUAUUUUCAACCACACAAUCUUCCAUAAAAUAAUAUUACACGUAAAUCGAAAACUUUUCAUUCUUUUUCAACCACUCAUUUUUCAAAAAAAUAUUAUUUCCCCCAUUAUUUUUUCCACGGAAUGGGGAUCAAACAGGGGCUUAAAAAUUUGUUUUGAAGUACAUCUACAGAAGUUGUUAUGUAGUGGAUCUUGUUUAACUGUAAGGGACAUAUUACUUUUAUAAUUUUAUCCAUAGAUAAUAUGAAAUUGUUGUUGCAGAUGUUGAAGAUAUCAGAGGAAUGGGUUUGCAGGUUUCAAAACUUGAAAACACAGAUAAUGGCAAGCUAGGUUUGUGUUUUAUGAUUAUUAGCUCUCUCUAAUAUUUUUGGAAGAAUCCUAAGCAUUUCAACUAUUUAUUAUUGGUUUCUAGAUUGAUAUAUAGCCCCUUUGUUUUGCCCCCAUUUUUUUUUUUUCCAAAACACAUUUUCUGCCACACAUUCUCCAACAAAAAACUAUUCCAAAAUGCAUCUUUUCCCAAAAUUGGGGCUAAACAGGGGCAUAACAUUUUUGCAAUUUCCUUUGUUAUUUCAAUGUUUCUUUUAGCAACUGAUCUGAUUUGCUUUUGUCCUGAAGUCCACCAGAGGAAUUCCAUUCUCUCCUGGCUCGUUUCCACUUCAACAAAGGACAGAGAGCAAGAGAAAUUUACUAAUCACACCAAGCACAAUGAUAUAGGUAUUAUAAACACAUCUUGUUAUAUUUUGUUAUUGCAAAUUUUCUUUUGGACGUGGAAUUGUGCAAUAGAAUUUAGUCACACAAAAUAGCUUCAAGGUUUACUUUUUUAGGUGUUUGACGUGGUUAUGAAACUUGUGCAUGAUUAUAUUGGCUAAAGAUAAUUUGUACUCAUUCAGCUCCCCCCCCCCCCCCCCCCCCCCCCCCCCCCCCCCCCCCCCCCCCCCCCCAAAAAAAAAAUAAAUAAAUAAAUAAAGGAAAAAGUGAAAAGGGAUACAUUUCCUCCAAGAUGUUGGUGCUUCCUCUGCUGAAACAUGGUCAAAAGGAUGGAUUUUUAAAUAGGUCCGCCAAUAUUAUUGUUAGUGUUGCAUCGGAAAAUAAGUUGAGCAUGGAUAACGUCUAUGGUUUCUGUUUGUUCCAUAAAUUGCACUCUUGUUGGUCAUCACCUUUAAAUACUGGACUUAGUUCAGCUUAAGAGUCUGAAAGAGUUCUCGUCCUCCUCUUUUUAUCCAUUACUUGUAUCAACUCUGUAGUCAUGAUAUUCUUUAGGUUUCUGUAUCUUGACUUAAUUUCUAAAUUUAGCUUUAGAGUCCAUGUAGAAACAAUGCAUAGUAACCCUCUGAUUUUAAUCCACACCAAACAGGGGCUAAGAAAAUUUUCCAUAUUUUGUUUGUAUAAAAAUGUUGGGUCUUGACUUAAACUGAACAGUAGGAGUUUUAUUUGUGUUACAGUUGGGGAACUGAAUUGUGAAGGAGAUCGAGGUCAGUUGUGCUCCAAUCACGCUGGACCAUCUGUCCGAAGUGAUGCUGGUUUGUCUGCUGGUGUAAGUGGCAGUAGACAGGGUGUGAUUCUCCCUCCUCUGCAUGAUCUUGAUGUGGGAGUUAUAGUCUCUCUUCCACCUGAUGUCAUUGCAGAAAUUAAUGACAUGUAUGGUGGGGAGUUAACAAGUUUCAUUUCCAAGUAUAAAAGUGACAUGAAUAUGCCUGCUAUGUCAGUUGAUAGUUUUGAGGGUAAAAUUUUAAACCUUUCCUCUGUUUAAAAGUGGAUUUUCUUCUCCUUGUCAAAUGUCUCAUGAUGAACUGUUGCAUUCCGAUUAGGGGUAACUGCUGAGGAAAAAGAAUGCCAUCCCUCUUAUCUGGUCCAAUCUAAUAAAUUCCCCUUUGACAUUAAGGUACUGCUCCUACUCAUGUUCUAUGUAGCUUGUGCACAAUUAACUACAGGAUCUGAAAUAAAUCAAUAUCCCAGUGAAAUAAAGUAUAAAUAAAACAAAUUUUUGUGCUUAAAAUUUGUUAUCGAGGUCAGUUGUGCUCCAAUCACGCUGGACCAUCUGUCCGAAGUGAUGCUGGUUUGUCUGCUGGUGUAAGUGGCAGUAGACAGGGUGUGAUUCUCCCUCCUCUGCAUGAUCUUGAUGUGGGAGUUAUAGUCUCUCUUCCACCUGAUGUCAUUGCAGAAAUUAAUGACAUGUAUGGUGGGGAGUUAACAAGUUUCAUUUCCAAGUAUAAAAGUGACAUGAAUAUGCCUGCUAUGUCAGUUGAUAGUUUUGAGGGUAAAAUUUUAAACCUUUCCUCUGUUUAAAAGUGGAUUUUCUUCUCCUUGUCAAAUGUCUCAUGAUGAACUGUUGCAUUCCGAUUAGGGGUAACUGCUGAGGAAAAAGAAUGCCAUCCCUCUUAUCUGGUCCAAUCUAAUAAAUUCCCCUUUGACAUUAAGGUACUGCUCCUACUCAUGUUCUAUGUAGCUUGUGCACAAUUAACUACAGGAUCUGAAAUAAAUCAAUAUCCCAGUGAAAUAAAGUAUAAAUAAAACAAAUUUUUGUGCUUAAAAUUUGUUAAUUAUGUGAUUUCCCAUUCAUCCAAUGCCAAUGCCAAUGCCAAUGCCAUUGACAUAGAAGUGGUCUGUUAGGCAUUGAAGGAGCCAGUCAAAGGGCGCUUGAAUCAUUUUUCUUUGAAUAGUAACCGAUUUCUGUAGGUUUUUAGCCAAGUAAUGGGAUUGCACUUUCUCAAAAGAUUGCUAUUUAGAAAGCUAAAAAAUUUAGUGAUUAUCUUACAUUUACUUUAGCAUCCUGCUAUAUAAUUCACUUCCUACACCGGAUCAAUCCAGUAAUCUAGUAAUCUGAUUUAUCUUGUAAUAACUGGGUGCAUGAUUGUAAAUGAAUUGAUGAGAUCACAUUUUAAGGUGGAUGAAUGUAGUAUGAGGAUCCAGCAGGAUCAGCUGCUUCUAACUUUUCCCCUCCUUUUCCUUUCACUUGCAUGUGCUGAGCUUCAAUUUAACUAGCUAAUAGUAGUAGGUCACUAUAAAACCUGCUGAUGCCAGCAUGUAUGUGGUGACAUUGUGUUUCACAUUCGGAUAUGAUUGUUAUUUUUCAUCAGUUAUUUUGCUGUUCUGAGUAACUUAACCAGUUCUUACAUACUGCAGUUGUUUGAUUAUCGUUGUUUCUGGUUGCUAAGUUCCUUCAAGGAACCUCUCAUCCACUCUCUUUUCGUGAAAAUGUGUUUUUGUCAUCAAAAGGCAUUGAUAUCGUACCGUAGUCAAUACUAGCUAUUUUAUCCUUGUGAUUGACAAUCUUCUAUCAGUCUUCUAUAAAAAUCUGUAUCAUUCUGAUACUUAGGAGCUGUGAAAUAUAUCAGUCUCUUUAAUAUGUAUCAUCACCUAUUUAUUUAUUGUGUUUCUUAGUUAUGUUUUCUUAAGGCAGAGGUCAAUUAAGGUAGAGAUAUAAUCCCGCAGCAAUUCAUCUGUGAAAUAAAAAAAGAUCAGGUCCUCAGGAUUUCCUAAUAUAAUAGAUUAUUUUUUACUUUCUUCAGUUUAUGGUGAUAAUUUUCUGUGCUUUUGUUCCGAAAAACAGUAUGGUGAUGAGGAAACCCCCAUUCGACCUUUCUCCGCUCCAGUUUCUGAAAAUAUUGCUGUAAUGCCCUCAUCUCUGAGUCAGGUAGAUCACUCGGUGUUGCAACAACUUCCUCAAGAUUUGAGAGAAGACAUACUUGAGUUUCUUCCUGCACACAGGAGACUAGAAUCUGUGCCAGAUGCUUUGCUGAAUCCAAGUGAGAAUCAGACUGGAUCUCCUCAGUUUGUUUCAACUAAUGAGCUUUGGGUUGGAAAUCCUCCUCUGUGGGUUGACAAGUUCAAAUUGAGCUGCUGUGGGAUGUUGAACCUUUUUGCUGAGAUGUAUUAUAGAUCAGGACAUACUUGCCAUUUGUCUUCUAUACUUCAGCGGCUUUUCUGUGAGCAGCGUGUUCCUCUAGAUGUGGGCACUAAUGAAUGGGACGAUGCUGUUAGUUGCUUAUGUGAGCUUGUUAAACAAUAUUUAGAACUCAAAAUUCAAACAGAUAUUGAGGAGGUUUAUGUUUGUAUCCGCCUUUUAAGAAGGUAUGUACAUGAUACAAAUUUUUAAUUUUGCAGAAGUGCACUUGUGAUGAUAUCGCUUUAUAUGCAUGAUUUUCUCUGUUUGCAUUUUCUUGAGAAUAAUAUACAUGGAUACAACUAUACCAGACCUGAACGAGACAAGAAUGACUAGCCCAUUUGUCAUGUUCUGGAAAAGUAGGACACGUAGAGAGGUAAUAUUUUGAUGUAUAUUGUCCAAAAAAACGUCGUUUUAUUUUAGAAAAGCAAAACCUUUUUCCACAUUAAACAUGGUGAUGCAGAUCCUUAAAGUUAUGCUGGAAGGCUUAUCAAAUGCUAGACAUGUAUUUCUAGGCAAAAGAAUGAGUAAUUUUCAAUUCUUUACUAGAUAUUUUAAGCAUAAAUAGGUUUUAAGGUCUUUUUUUUUUUUUUUAAUUAAUUAUGCAGACAAUGAAUUGAAUAUAAGGUUUUUGAAAUUUCCUCUUCUUGAUCUUCUUUCUUUUCUGUCUCUUCUCCUCUCUCCACUUCUCCCCUCUUGUGCCCUACUUUAUGUUCUUGUGUUCUAUAUGCUUUGAUAUAUCCACUGGUGUCGAAGCUUGCUUCACUUCUCUAACCAAAUCUCAAUCUAGGCUAAUGUUAGUGUUUCUAGUCAAAAGAACAAUGUACUGUUUAGGUAUUUUUGUCACAAAAAAAAAAAAAAAAAAAAAUUAAGGAAAAGAAUUCAGUUAUUUUUAUCAAAAAGACAAGAAAAAUGAAAAGGAAGGUUGAAUUGUUUGUUCAAGGGGAAGGUUAAUAGUGUUGGCAAAAAAGAGUUCUUAGUGCCAUACCAAAAUUUUGCUCAUUUUUCAUUUUCUAAGGUGAGAUUGACAUUGGAAAUUCCUCGUGCAUGUCCGCAUUUGUCUCAUAUCCAAAAUUAGAAAGUAACAGAGAUACUUUGUGAGCUUCCUGCAUCAGACAUGUAUCUGUCCUACAUGUGUUGGACAAAAAACACUUUUGGCUUGGGGAAGUGUCUCAGAGUUAUUCAAGUCAGGUUGAGUGUGACAAUAUUUGAUAUUGUUUUCUCUACCUUAUAUUUUCCUAAUGUUUCUAGUACUAUAGCAUGGUAGAUUGUUUUAUCAUUUACGUGUUCUUGAAAACUUAUUAUGUGCUGUACUGUGUUAUUCACUUAUUUGCCAAGGUUUAAUGUUGUUAUACACAAAGACACGGUUGAUUGAUAAGGCUUAUUUUUCUCUCAGGUUAAAUGAGAGGUCGAAACUUUUUGGACUAGUUUGUGACAGCAUACUUCCUCAUCUCCAGGUUUCUUUGUCUUAGCCAAUAUCAUCGACCCCCAUGUCUUCCUUCUUUCCCCUCUUCCCUUAUCCUUCUUUAUCCGGUUUUUCAUCGUUACAUGGUGGGGAGGAUAUUUUGCUGUCUCGACAGUCUCCCUAUGAAUUCUUUUUAAUUUCGUUCUUAUUAUUCUUGUGGAUUCAACUCUUCAGGCAUCCUUUGGUGAAAAUUAUGGAGGAACUCUUAAUGUCUCUUCUGUCAAGGACUGAUGUAUUAAAGAUAUGGUUCUAAACUUCACCGCCGUUGGAUUUAUGAUACAAUUUCAUAGUUGAAAAUACCAUGAUCGUUGGCAUUACAUUCUCUUCUAGCAACUGGAAUCUGGCCAUGACACCGGAUGAUGUAGGCGAGUCAUUGCUGUGCAGGUGCUUUCUGCAUGAUGAUCCUGUUAGCGAUGUUUGAAACCUUCGAGGGGUGGAGCCUUGAGUUCUUCUAGUAUUAAGAUUUAAGCUGGAUCAGUAUUGCGAUGCAAAGAUGGAGUUAAAUCAAGAGAAUGUGCCUAUAUGGGCAUUUUGUUUUGGUAAAUAUCACACAACACAAUAUUGGGAAAAUUGCAGCAGAGUUCCCUAGCCAGUUAUUAAAGUGUAGCAGCAGCAGGGACAUUGUGUAAUGGUGGUUCUUUUGAAAUCUGAAGGUUUGGUAAGUUGAAAAUGUUGGAAUAUUCUGAGUGCAAAAAAAUGGUGUGUGUAGAGAAUUCCUUGAACAUAAAAUUUGGUAUGUCAUUGGAGGACUCCUUGCCUUAAUCAUUGGUUUCUAAAGGUGGAGUUUUCGAAGCUUUGUGCGGAAAUCUUUGGUCUGCGUCAGAUCUUUCCAUUUAUGUUCGAAACUUUCAGCAGUGGAAGGAGUUGGGAGGGAGGUGUUGGCUCUUGAUCGCAAUGAUUUUGUGACUCCCGAGGGGAGAGUGGGGUGAGUUGGGUUGGAUAAUCUUAUUCUAGUUUUUUCCCCUCAAAUUUUAUUCAUAAUUAUUUUAUUAAUGUUCUUUUCAUAGAAUAAUGUGUUAAUUCAUUUACUCUUAAAAAAUUGGACGUGACGAUUGCAAGUAACUUUAAAGGUAAAUUUGGCAGAUUCCAUCUAUAAAAAAUCCUGCUACCACAAAAAUAGAAGAUUGAAACUGCCACUUCUUUAGGGAUCCGUCUGCACUUCUGCAAUUUCCCCAGGAUUUUCUGAGGAAAAUGCUGAAAUUGGACGUUGAAUUCGUCCCAACAUGUUAAUUAGUUAAAGAUGUAAAUGCAAGUCUUCUGGUGAUGUUAUUGCAUGUUAUGAAGUCGGCCUAACUAUUUAAACCCACGUUCAGUCUUUUUUCCUUUUGGAAAUUGUUCAUCUGUUGGGUAAAUUAAUUCGAUUGCUACAAUAUAAUUUUUCAUCACUAGAAGGAUAUGCUUGAUUUGAUCUCGAUUUUCCCAACUCAUAUUUGCAAAUUAAGAAAACAUAGAAGCACAAAAUGGGGCAUAGUUCUCGUCUUAGGAAAAAAAGAGAAUUCUGCUAUGUAAAAAGAGAAUUCUGCUAUGUAAGAUUCCUCGAGAAGUAUUAUAUUACGGAGCAAUGAAAUACCGCGUUUUUUCAAAGCUUCAACGACUUAAAUACAAGCAUGUAUACUAGUCGUUUUCGCUUUCUAUCACUGGAAGCUUCAGCGGGAUAGUUUCUAGCUUUUCUUUCAACCAUUAGGUGAUGGUGAGUUACUAUUAUGCCCUUGUUUGAUCCCCAUUCUUUAGAGAAAAUGAAUUCUUCUACAGUAUUUUGAUAUAAUUUCAACCACACAUUCUUCAAUAAAAUAAUAUUACACGCAAAUUCAAAAUUUUUCUUUAUUUUUUAACCACAUAUUUCACAUUAAUACACUAUUCAAAAAUUCAUUUUUCGCCUCAAAAUGGGGAUCAAACAAGAGCUAUAUUAUUAAGCCUUUGGUCCCCCUUUUUUUUUUUCAAAUUUUAAUGUUUGAAAUAGUGUCUUUUUUUAAAAAAAACGCGUGAUUGAAAAAAAUGAAAAGUUUUUGAUUUAUAUGUAAUAUUAUUUUAUGGAAGAUUGUGUGGUUGAAAAUAAGAGAAGAAAGAAAUGAAAGAGAAUGGGGGCAAACGAGGCUUAAUAAAUAGAAAUAUAUUUUCCAACUUUAUUAAACAGUGACUUCAUAAUACAAUAAGAUGGCCAACUUUUAUAAUUUGUUUCAUUUUUUUCUUAGGUUUAUUUUAAUUAUUAUUUUUUGUAGCUCAAACUAUUUAAGGUCAAUUAUCUCCUUUGUCGGUUUAGAGUAUUUUUUCCUCGUUAAACUUUUUUAUAUCUUGAAUAAAAAUUGAGAUAUUUUGCGGUAUUCUUAGGAUUAAAUGAACCUUUGAUUACUGAAUUCUCAGUAUUCUUAGAAAUAAUAUAUUUUUAGAUUUAUUGUCUUUAUUUCAUAAUAUAAUUAGCCUUUUAAAAUCGUGUAUUAUGGAAAAACUUUUAGUGAAAAUUGUCAAAGUAAAUGAAGUCGUUUUCCACCGCGUUAGGAUCAGUUUUGGAAGAAUUCUAGAAAGAACGUAGAAAGCCAUUGAAUUUGGCAGGAGAUUUAGCCUUGUUUGGUCCUAUUUUUUCAAAUUUUAAUAUUUGGAAUAGUAUUUUUUAAGAAAAUGUAUGAUUGAAAAAGGAGGAAAAGUAUUCGAUUUAUGGGUAAUAUUAUUUUAUAGAAAAUUGUGUGAUUGAAAAUAAGAAUGGAAAGAAAAAAUUGAAAGAAAAAAGGGGCCAAACGGGGCUUAAUUACACGGGGCGUUGGCAUGUUGCUCCAUAUUUCUAUUAUGAGAUUCAAGGAAUAUCUCAUCAAAUUCCAUGAAAGUAAGCUCGAGCCAAUUGCUGCCCCCAUCCUUGCGAUUACAUAUUAAUUUUUCUAGGAGCUAUUCCAGCCGGACCACAAUUGGGUCAAAUUGACCGGUUUAACUUUGUUCUAAAUAUAAUUUUAACGAUCUUACCUCUCAAUUUUUUAAUUUGGUUCUAAUUUAUUAUAUUAACUAGGUCUGGGCAUGGUCCGGCUCGGUUCCGUUCUUAGAAUCGAACCGGAUCGAACCGGAUCAGAACUUUUUAGGUAUCAAGUAAGUGGAAUCGUUGGGUCCAAAUUUAAUUAUAGAACCGUUCGGGUUCGGUUUCAUUUGGUUCCCAGAUUCUGUAUUAUAAUUAUUUUUUUAAUAUUUACGAAGCUAUAUUUAUUCAAUUAAUGACAUGUUUAAUCUUAAUUCUUACAAAAUAACGUGGUUUAAUCUUAUGUGUCUUUUGUAUAUCUCUUUGUUGAGUUCUUCAUAGGUUUGAUUGUUAGCAUCACAGGAAGAGGAAAAUAGCGAGUUUACAAUAAUUAAGAGAGACGCUGUUGAGUUUCAAUUCAGUUUGUGCUUAAAAUGAAAAUUAGAAACAUGAAAUCAUAUUUUUGGGUUUGAACUAAAUUAACUAGUUAACAAAUUUAUUUAGAAAAAUUAAAAUAAUUUGGCUUACUUAAAAUAAAUAAACUAAAAAAAAAAUAAGGGAGAUUUUGUUCUUAUUCGAUUAUUCGGUUCUUGAUCUAGAACCGAUAAUCAAAUCAAACACGUCGGUUCUCGAUUCAGAUAUCCGUUCGGAUAUUUAACUUAAGAAGAACCGCUUAGUUCGGUUCGAUUCAGUUAGAGUCUGAUUCCAUUAGGGAACUUUGUCCAUCCCUAAAUUAUUAACGUACUUUAAAUAAUUAACUCUUUUACUUAAAAUAGAAAACACGAAAUUAAAUUCCAAAAAUGUAAUCAAGAAUUUACUGCUUACAAUUUUGUUAUGAGACAUAAAAAAGGGGAAUCAUAACUAAUCGAACCGAAACCAAUUGGUUCAAAGUUGUAUCAUAAAUUGGAUCUCAUCAAAUCUGAAUUGAGAUGAACCAAACCUAAUUCUCAUAUUUAUCGUAAGUUCAAAUCAUAUAGCUUCUAUGUAUCAAACAUUAGUUAUAGUGAUAUAUCUGACUAGGUAGCGAGGCACACCGUACACGGCAUAUAGUCGACUUGGUAAACGGAGUGUACAGUUUGUCUUUUGGCCAGAAUCAAGUCACAAUACUCUUAAAAGUCCAAGUCAAUGUCUUCUUUGCAUAUUAUCAUGAAGGCAUCACAAUUCAUAAGGCAUCACUUAAUUAGGUAGGACUAGUGGAUGUGACAUGAAAUGGACGGUACUCAACGUUUAGGUCUACGUUCAAUUUCAGAAAAAUCCAAGCCCAAGCCAUGUCUACCAUCAAUUAGGGACGGAGCCAGCACUCGAGGAGUCCCUGGGAUCAGCCGUGCUGAUUCCAUUGAUUUUUUCCCUUCUACUCGAUGAUCGCUUGGGGGUUGUUUGUGCUCACCUGAAUUAUGGAUCUGUCAUUACCGUCAACAAUAAGAACCCUACUUGGUUUUGGUUUGCAAUAUGGGGGAUUUCGGAUUCAAAUUCAGUGUUUUUUUUUUUUUUUUAAACAACUAACCUCCCUUUCAAUGAGCGGGAGAUAAGCUAAGUCAGGUGGUUGGGGUGGGAAGGUUAAACUUCCACGAGACGAGGGUGGCAUAUUUUAUUCAUACUAAAAUAAAAUACAAAUUUAGAACGAAAUAUGCAACCUCGUGAAAAUAUAUAUGAGGAAAAAUUAAGUUUUUGUUUGAUAGUGAUUAAAUUUUAAAUUUUAGUUUAAAUUAAAGCCAACAAAUAGUUUUAAACACAUAUAUUUAUGGAUCUUACAACUUUUAAACUUUAUAUUUCAUCAAUUUUUAUUAAGAUCUAUUAAAAAUCUGAUAUUAAUCCCAUCAAACACGGGCUAAAUUGGCGGAAAACGAAGAAGAGUAAUUACAAAUUUGUCAUUGUUUACUUUUCUUUCCUUCUCAUGAAAGGAACGAAGACAUGAAUUUCUUCGUUCACACCACGCCAUUUCAACAUUAACAUGCCCAUUCAUAUAUAUAUGAAUCAUAGUAGAUCUAACUGCAGCACAAAGCCCAUAAAACCAUAACAUGGCUAACUCAAUUAUACUGUGUCUGUGUUUCUCUUCCUUGGUAAUUCUAGCAGCCAUUCAAGGAAUCCAUGCAGUGGACUAUACAUUUACAAACACUGCAGCAAACACUCCUGGAGGUGUUAGAUUCACUAAUGAGAUUGGGGAACAAUACAGCAUCCAAACGCUGGAUGCAGCUACGAAUUUCAUAUGGAAAAUCUUCCAACAAGACACGACUCCGGCCGACAGGAAAAAUGUCCAGAAGGUGAGUUUAUUCAUCGAUGAUAUGGACGGAAUUGCGUACACCAGCAAAGAUGAGAUUCACGUCAGUGCAAGAUACAUACAGAGUGACUCUGGGGAUGUGAAAACGGGGUUCACCGGAGUUUUGUAUCAUGAAAUGACUCACGUCUGGUAAUGGAAUGGAAAUGGUCAAGCUCCAGGAGGUCUUAUAGAAGGUGUUCUCGAAUCACUUCAUCUAAAAAUUUAAACUUUCAGUAUUUAGAUAGCGUUUAUCUAGUUGAAUUCUUACUUUAACAUCAUAUUGAUGAUUGGAUAGUUAAAUUUCACAACUUUAACAGGAAUAGCUGAUUAUGUGAGGCUAAAGGCUGGUUAUAUAGCAAGUCAUUGGGUGAAACCCGGGGAAGGAGAUACGUGGGAUCAAGGUUACGAUGUGACGGCACGAUCCUUGGAUUAUUGCGAGGGUCUCAGAAGUGGAUUUGUUGCAGAACUUAACAAGAAAAUGAGAGAUGGUUACUGUAACAACUAUUUUGUUGAUCUUCUGGGCAAGACAGUAGAUCAGCUCUGGAUGGACUACAAAGCAAAAUAUAAUACCUAAUUAAGAGGAAUAUUAUAUGUUUUGGGGCAUUCAAUUUCGAAUAAUUGAUAAAGAAUAAUCUGUUCCAGAAAAGAAAAAUUAUAUAAAGAAUAAUCUCAAGCCCUUGCUAACAGUACACUGCUAUGAUUUCCAAUGUAUUAAAUUGUUUUACUAAAAAAAAAAAAAAAAAAAUAGUACUCUUACAAUAUUUCUCUACAUUUCUGGUUUUAUUUUUAAAUUUUUAUUUCUUCGUCCAAUAGUAGCCGUGUUUUUACUUGUGUGACGGAAUUCUUCUUUCGUUUUUAAACACUGAUAUGAGAUUUUUUCGAGAAAUGAUGGUAGACAAACUUAGUUUAUUUAGAGAUUUUUAUUUAUUUCGACAUCAUAUUUUCAUGACCAUCCAAUCUCAAAUAAUUUGAGAAGUAUAGAAACUUUUAUAAGGUUAAAUUUUCAUUUUCAUUUGCAAAUUUUUGGUAUAAAAAUAUUGUGAAAAAUAUAAUCACAAAAACUCUAAUAGCUUCAAUUCAACCAUAUAUUGAUGGAAAAUGUGUGGUUUAAAAAUACAGAAAAAUUUUGAGUUUGCGUAUAAUAUUAUUUUAUUGAAAAAUAUAUGGUUGAAUUGAAUAUAAGGUUUUUGAAAUUUCCUCUUCUUGAUCUUCUUUCUUUUCUGUCUCUUUUCCUCUCUCCACUUCUCCCCUCGUGCCCUACUUUAUGUUCUUGUGUUCUAUAUUCUUUGAUAUAUCCAUUGGUGUCGAAGCUUGCUUCACUUCUCUAACCAAAUCUCAAUCUAGGCUAAUGUUAGUGUUUCUAGUCAAAAGAACAGUGUCCUUUUUAGGUAUUUUGUCAGGAAAAAAAAAAAAAAAAGGAAGGAAGGAAAAAAAAAGAAUGGCUGAAUUGUUUAUUCAAGGGGAAGGUUAAUAGUGUCGGCAAAAAAGAGUUCUUAGUGCCAAUAAAAAAAAAAAAAGGAAAAAUUAUGUUUGGUGGAAUUAAAAAAAGCAGGUGUCAAAGCAAUGACGAAGGUUAUCAAAGGUAUACAAAUCUUGGAUAAUGAAUUUCUUGUUGGGGAAUAUACCGAUUAUGUGCAUAUUAUAUUCAUAAAAGCAUACCAUUUAUUUGCGUGAAAUCGAAAUGUAAUUCCGACUUACCAAAAUAGAAUUUGAGAAGUAAAACAAUAAUAGUUACCGAAUCCGAAUGCAUGAAUAUAGAUUCAUCUUUUUCGAUUCUUGAACGAAAGCAAGUUAUUCUUUUAAAUCAAAUCUCGCAGAACAAACAUGUAAAUAAUGUUAAUCAGUUUCUGAAAUCAAAUCAUAAUUAAGAGAAAUAAGAAAAUGAAGGAAGAAAGAUGCAAGUGAUGAAUUUUUGGUCGAGACAAGUGUUUGACACUUAGUCCUUAAGAUGAAUUUGUUCCGCAUCGGUGCUAACGAUUUUUCGACAAUCAUCUCUCAAGAUACAACGACCAUGUCAAGCCAUAGGAGCACUCCAAAUGGCUUCGACCAGCGAACUCGAACGGAAUUCCUUCUCUACCAAGGAAAUGCAUGAAAAUGCUAUGAAAUUAGAAAGGAGAGAAUUGCAAGAGGAUAAUGAAUACUCAAUGCAAUUGGUGUACCCAAAAUCAUGUCCACAGGAUUCUAUUUAUAGAUAUAGAAAGGAUGCAAAUGAAGUAGUGUGGACCAAAACAUGCAUCCUUUGAAAAAGUUGCAACACUUGGCCAAAACUUACAUCCUUUCGAAAAGUUACAACACUUCAUUUCUUCCAACUUUGGUUCGUAAUUUCUCAUUCAUCCGGAUUUGGUUUCGAGAUUCCAAAUAUACCACGACGAUCUAGUCGACGAGUAGAAUAAGUUGGUCUAUUUACUUUUGUAAUUUGACCAUCGGAUCAAGUCCGAAUAUUUGGUCGAAGUUGACAUGUAGUCACACCUUUUCAUUUUCUACUUUUACACACCUUUUCAUUUUCCAAUUUUUGGUUAAUUAUUUGAACCGAUUCCUACAUUUCUUACUUUUCAUUUUUUUUCCCUCCUUUUGCCGUACCAAAAUUUUGCCCAUUUUUCAUUGUCUAAGGUGAGAUUGACAUUGGAAAUGUCCUCAUGCAUGUCCGAAGUUGUCUCAUAUCCAAAAUUAGAAAGUGACAGAGGUAUUUUGCGAGCUUCCUGCAUCAGACACGUAUCUGAGUGUGUACUACAUUUGUUAGACAAAAAACACUUUUGGCUUGGGGAAGUGUCUCAGAGUUAUGCAAGUCAGAUUGAGUAUGACAAUAUUUGACAUUGUUUUCUCUACCUUAUAUUUUCCUAAUGUUUCUAGUACUAUAGAAUGGUAGAUUGUUGUAUCAUUUACGUGUUCUUGAAAACUUAUUAUGUGCUGUACUGUGUUAUUCACUUAUUUGCCAAGGUUUAAUGUUGUUAUAAACAAAGAUACGGUUGAUUGAUAAGACUUAUUUUUCUCUCAGGUUAAAUGAGAGGUCAAAACUUUUUGGACUAGUUUGUGACAGCAUACUUCCUCAUCUCCAGGUUUCUUUGUCUUAGCCAAUAUCAUCAACCCCCAUGUCUUCCUUCUUUCCCCUCUUCCCUUAUCCUUCUUUAUCCGGUUUUUCAUCGUUACAUGGUGGGGAGGAUAUUUUGCUGUCUCGACGGUCUCCCUAUGAAUUCUUUUUAAUUUCGUUCUUAUUAUUCUUGUGGAUUCAAUUCUUCAGGCAUCCUUUGGUGAAAAUUAUGGAGGAACUCUUAAUGUCUCUUCUAUCAAGGACUGAUGUAUUAAAGAUAUGGUUCUAAACUUCACCGCCGUUGGAUUUAUGAUACAAUUUCAUAGUUGAAAAUACCAUGAUCGUUGGCAUUACAUUCUCUUCUAGCAACUGGAAUCUGGCCAUGACACCUGAUGAUGUAGGCGAGUCAUUGCUGUGCAGGUGCUUUCUGCAUGAUGAUCCUGUUAGCGAUGUUUGAAACUGUUUCGCGCGGGUUAGUCGCUAACAAUUAAAAGAGGAUCAGACGAUUGUGUAAGGGACAAACAUCUUGAGACAAAAUCCUAAAAAGGGGUGUUCUUUUAUUGGCGAUGACUUUACAAUUGGAAAUUAAAAACAAAGUGCCUUCAAGGAGCGCAAGUACACGAGUUACUGAAAAAAGUUUAAGUCUAAGCUAAGGAAAUUAAAAUUACAUGUUCUCUGUUCGAGAGUUUUGGAUUCGGUCCUUUGCUCUAUAUUUUUCUCCCUUUUAUACUUCAUGGACGAUCUCUUUGUGAUCAACCGCCUAAAAACUGCUUGAUCGUCUUAUAACUGCCCACUUUCUUCGUAAUGGCCAACUUGUCAUGAAAACUGCCUUUUUUAACUGCUGCCAUUACUCUUCGUUGUUCAACCGCUUUCGAUUGAAUUCCUUGAAUCGUGAAACGUGAUAAGGUUGCUUUAAUAACUGCUUUGAUAACUGCACUUCUUGAUGACCACAACGCUUUAUGUUUGUUAAGACCUUGAGCGACUUAAAGAUUUGGGUGAGAAUAGAGUAACAGCUCUGGACGACUAUAUGACACUCCAUUCGCUCAGAUUCUGGGCGACUUGCAAACUUGGGCGAUGGCGUUACCGCGUUCUUGGGCCUCCCUAUUCGGGCCUUCAUCUUGAUUUGUUUGAUUGGGCUUCGUUUUUUGGGCUAUCUGAUUUGGGGAUCCUCCAAUUGAGCUUCACUCCUUGGGCCGUUCGAUUUGGGCUGAAUUUUUAUGUGUCAACAAUUACCCCCCAAUAUGGCAGAAUUAAUAAUAAUUAUUAAAUUUUGCCAUAUUCACUUUGUGUUUCCAGCAACGUUCGAAAUUCUCAAGAAUUUCAAUCAUUGUUUUCUUUUAUAACUUGAGAAGGUGCGCCGUUUUGCAAACCCUUAUAACCCCCAAACACGCCAUUUCACUGCACCAUUAAAUCACGCCUCAAAUUUUUGCGUCUCUCUCACGAUUUACUGUUCAUCUUUUGCUUCCCUACUACGUAACCCUAAAAAACUUCGUUCCUUCUCAAAUGGCUACUUCACAAUCUCAAGCUGGCGACUCUUUUAGUUUUGAUAACUUUCAGAAACUUCUGAGUCGCCCAUACAUAACUCCGAGUUUUCUCGCGCCCGCCGAUGUCGAACGUAAUGAGUUCUACUUGGGUCCUUUCUUCAACAAUGCAGAGGCAGUUGAACAGGCGGUGGUGGGUCAGCUGUUUCCUUGCACUCAAGGCCCUCCAUUUCUAAACUCUCUGUCGCUAGGGCCACUUCGCGAAAGAGGUAUUCGCAUUUGGCCUAAAUAUGAUGUAGCUUUCCGUAGGUGGCAUGCUCGCCUUGUGGGUCAUGGUCUUACUAAGGCACUUUUUGAUAGCGCUAGGAAUUCUGAUUUGUUAGAAAUCUCUAUUCGGCCCCCUACUUUUGAUUCAGCACUCUUUUCGAUUGCUUUGAGUUUUUGGUCUUCUGAGUAUAAUACCUUUAUUUUCCCUCUUGGCCCCAUGUCUAUUACCUUAAGGGAUGUUGGGGCCCUGGUGAAUCUACCACCUUUGGGCGAUACCAUUUUUCCUGGUAUCUUGGUUUCUGGUGGCGCUCCAAAGUUUGGUAAAAACUACACCGAAUCUUAUUCAAGCCUGCAAACCCUUCACAAUCAUUCGAGCGCUGAGCCUUCCCAUACUGAGCGAGUGGCCUUUCUUCUAGUUUGGCUUUAUAAAUAUGUUUUGUGUGUGCCAAGCAUAAAGCCCUCCUUGAGUUAUUUACCUAUAGCGCACGAAUUGGCGCGUGACAGGCCUUUGAAUUUAUGUUCUUUCUUUUUGGCUGCCCUUUAUAGAGGCAUGGCCUCUCUUCAAACUCAAUUGAAGAAUGGUGCAUCUCCCACUGGCAGUGGACCUCUUUGGUUCACUCAACUGUGGUUGAGAUCCUAUUUUCCAUUGCUUGGUGCUCCAUCAAUUUCUCGCUCCUCUGCUAGCUGUUAUGGGCUAGCCAUGGAGCCCUUGGCUCCUGUAAAUAUGUCCAGAAGAGACAUUUUUUCAUUCUUUUAUUCUUUGGAUUCAAUCUCUUCCUUUUUUCCUUUUCCUCCUUUUUUAACUCCAAACUAUGUACAUCCCCCCUUUACUAUAGACAGUACGAGCACCUCCCUGCUUAUUUGGAUCCAGUUUUUAACCGGGAGGGAGCUAUUUCAUGAUAUUUUAACUGGGACCAAUGCCAAGGCAAGGGUAGAAAUUUAUGCUCCCCAAUUUUUUGCUCGCCAGCUUGGUUUCGGCCAAACUUGGCCUGUUCCUCCUUGCUAUUCAAGAAACUUAAUUGACCGUUUUCAUACUAUUAAUAAGGCGGAGGCAGAGGCUAUAAAUGCUCGCAAUCUUCUUUUAACCAGCCAUUUUUCAUUAGCCCCCUUCAAUUCUAACCACGCCAUUCACCCUCUUUUUGAACAGCUCUGGCCGUCAGUGAAGCGCAGAUUAUUUGCGACUGACGCCAAUCGUGCCUUUCAUUCACUAGACCAGCCGAGCAUUUCUUCCCCUCCUCCUGUUUUAGUCACUCCUUUGUCUGUUCGGAGUCCUUCUCCUUCUCGUCGUACUAAACAGUCUGCUCGUCCAUCUUCUUCUCUCCCUGCCAAGCCUACUAUAGCUAAGAGUGUCCUAAGCCGCAAAUGGCCAGCCUCAGCAUCUCCCAUUCUGGAGGAUGAUGUUGAUGAUGAUGAUGAUGCCCCUCUUAUCGUCAGGAGAAAGGUAAUUAAAUUAGUUUACUCACAAGCAUACUUUUCCAUACUUGAAACUUUUCUGUGUGCUGAUGAUCUUUUGGACUUCUCAGAAAAGCUCAGCCUCUCCUUCAAUAGCUUUGGCAUCGACAACUCCUGCUCCAUCAUCCUCCGCUGAGGCUGCUUCAUCCAAACCGGUUGAUGAGGGGGCUACGCUUAAAGAGACAUCUUCAGUCCCAGAGUCCUCAUCACAACCCAUGGAUGAACGACCUUCUUCCCAGGGCGUCAACCCCCCAAACAUCGAAGCAGAAGGUAAUUCAGUCUUUUGAUGUCUUACCUUUGCUUGUGCUGUUGGUUUCUGAUUUGUUGCUCUUGAGUUUUGUAGAUACUCCUAUGAGUCCGUCCGUUGUGGCAACAUCUUCUCGCUCAGACAAGGGGAAGUCCUCAUGAAUGGAGGAGUCGUUGGUGGCAGACUUGGCUGGGGACAUGCCAUCUUCCACGAUUGUUGAUGAGGUAAUCUUUGCUUCACUCUUAUUUCUAUCUUGUUCGUUGCAGUGAGAAUCUUUAAUAUUGACAAUUUUCUUUGCAGGAUGCUGACAAGAUUGUGCGUUCUAUCCAAGACUUGUUCGCUUCCUGGGGGCAAGUCUAGACGUCUCGCCCUACUCCAUCUGAUCGUCCUGCUGCUUCUUCAGAGGAAAAUUUGAAGUUCCUCAAGGAGUCGAUAUUUGAGUACGUGUCCUUCAUGGAUAUGGACAUCGAAAGGGCUAGUGCUGCCAGACACAAGGAUAAACUUGAGCAUCUGAAUGCGAAGUUGGAGCAAGCACUGACGCUUCCGUCGCUCAAUCUUUCUGCCGAUUUUAAAGCGACGUUGAAGGUUAUCCACUCCAAGGUCCUUUCUUUGCUGGCCAAGAAUGCUGAACUAAAGGCCAAAAGUACUCAAUAUCUUCGAGCCGUAUCUGAGAAAGAGUCUUUGCGUAUGGAGAUCAACAAGGCUGAGGACAAGUUGAAGAAAUCUCUUCCGAAGUCAUGGUUGAAGACUCUUUGAUAGUUAAUUUGGCUGCUCAGAUGAAGGAACUUCAAGCCAAAAUGGACGACUGCAGGGCGAGAAUGGCUGCUAAAAAGUGCAACGCCUCCAAGGGAAUUGAGCGAACUAAGUCCUUGGUUGAGUAGUACAAGAAGUUGGAAGUUGAUGAUGACGUCGUGGCCAAAUUGAACAUCACUUCCUCUCAGCAGAAUGAGGAUUGGGAAAAACUUAGGGAACGAAUUCGUUCAGUAUGGAGUGGACUGUAAUUAAGACAUAUGAUGCCUUUUUCUUUUGUAAUUUGAUUUUCCCUUUGUAACUUUGUUCAUCAUUAAUGAAUAUUAACUUCUUGUGCAUUUAUUUGACGUUUAUUUUUUUUUUAGUUGUCAAUUCUUCAAGCAUUUAACUGAUUCGUGCUAAAAAUCUUGCCCAUUUGCUUUUGAUAUUUCCACCACUUUUCCUAAGACUUUGGGCUAUUUAAUUCCAUUUACUAGGCAGAAAUGUGGCUGUUCAUAUUCUGUCUCUUCAUCUCCACCCCCUUAUAAAUGCAUGGAUGCUUCGCAUUUUCCAUCUUCCAUCUUCAUCUUCAUUUUCUUCUUCGAAACCAAUUUGCUGCCAUUGUUUGGCACUCUGACAAUCAAUCCGAUCCGAAACCUUCGCCUUUCUAUAAAAAUAGAUUGUUUAGUCCGUCCAUUUUACUAUUUGCCUUGAUGUCACCUUUGGUGUGGGAGGUAUAGAAAAUAUUUUUUGGCCAGCAGCAAAGUUUUUACCAUCGAAGUUCUUCCCAUCGUCUCUUUGCCCUUUACAAGGAGUCGAUGAUAGAAGGCAAUUUUUGGGAUGCUUGCGGGCCAUAUUGCUUGCUGAGAGUGCUUCUCAGCCUCUUUGCCUGCCACUGCAGCGAUGCAUUUAGGAAGGUGGUGAGGCCAGUCCACCCUCUUACUCGGCGAUCCCACCAUUGCAGCGAUGCAUUUAGGAAGGUGGUGAGGCCAGUCCACCCUCUUACUCGGCGAUCCCACCAUUGCAGCGAUGCAUUUAGGAAGGCGGUGUGAGGCUAAUCCACCCUCUUACUCAGCGAUCAAUCGGGAGAUUAGCUUACUUUUAAUUGUAUUUUGUAGAGCAUCCAUUAUUUGUAUUUUUGCAUUUUUGUAAUGAACGUUUGAUAAUAAAGGACUUCAUUUGAACGUAUUUCGCUCUGACCUUGUUAUCCUUUAAUCGUUCAACAUAUUUUGAUUAUGCUCUUAUCUGUUCACAUUCCCAUAAAGAAGGAACAUAUUUUUUCAAAUAUUUGCCGUUAAUGAAUCUCACUUGCUUGGUGCCAUCUAAAUCUUCCAAGUGAUACGCUCCAUUGGGCAACACACUGUUUAUUUUGUAUGGUCCUUCCCAAUUGGACGACCACUUCCUGUACUUUAGAUCCUUGCUAUCCAAAGGGAGUAUCGUCUUCCAAACUAGUUCACCUAGGCUGAACGAUUUGGCUAUGAAUUUUUUAUUAUAAAACUUAGCCAUUCUUUGUUUUGAACUUGCAAUCUAUCUAAGAUGUCCAACUUUAAUUCGUCUAACCCCAAUAAAUUUUGAACUAGUGAUUCGGCAUAUUCAUCAUCAUUCAACUUAUGUUGCAAGCACACUCUAAUCGAUUGNNNNNNNNNNNNNNNNNNNNNNNNNNNNNNNNNNNNNNNNNNNNNNNNNNNNNNNNNNNNNNNNNNNNNNNNNNNNNNNNNNNNNNNNNNNNNNNNNNNNNNNNNNNNNNNNNNNNNNNNNNNNNNNNNNNNNNNNNNNNNNNNNNNNNNNNNNNNUCUAUGACAUUCUUUUGGGUGAUCUCUUUCAAAGGUAUCGCUUCUACCCAUUUGGUGAAAUAGUCGGUUGCAACUAUAACAAAAGUAUGUUGCUUGGACGAUGGGGGAUAAAUUUUCCCUAUUAGGUCUAUCGCCCAACCCUUGAACGGUCAAGGUUUAAUAAUAGGUGCCAUCUCUCGCGCUGGCGCCCUUUGUAUUGGACCAUGCUUUUGGCAUGCUAGACAACUCUUUGCAUACUGAACGCAUAAUUCUCCCAUCUUUGGCCAAAAAUAUCCACUCCUAAUAAUUAACCAUCUCAUCCUUUGGCCAGCUUGAUGAGCUCCACAUAUCCCUUCGUGCACCUCAGCCAUGAUCGUCUUGGCUUCUUGCAAACUUACACACUUUAGUAAUACAUCAUCAGAGCGUUUCUUAAACAACUCUUCAUCUAUUAGUGUAUAGUUCAGCAAACACAGCUUCAUUCUCUUACUAAUCCCUCCAUUAGGUUCCUUAAGGAACCUUUUAAUAUCUGUUCUCCAAUCCAUUGCAUCUCCAUCUUGUAUGCAGUGAAGUUCAAUAUUUCUCGCCCUUCUUUGAGUUACGGGCAAUAUGAUUCCAUACUCACAAGUAGACUUCCAAUUCAAAGCCUUUGAGUAUCCUGAGGCCAUUUGGGCUAACUCAUUUGCCAUGUCAUUAUAUAUCCUGUUAACGCAUUGAAGUUCUACUUGGUCGAAUUCUUCCAACAAUUCUUGGGCGAUCUCAUAUUGACUUAUAAUGGAAUCACUUUGGCAUUUAAAAUCCCCAAUCAAUUGGUGGAUUACCAAUUGAGAAUCGUCCCUAACGAUCACAUUUCUUACUCCUAUAUCUAUGAUUAGUUCUAGUCCUACAAUUAAAGCUUUAUAUUCGGCUUGAUUGUUGGUGCACAUUCUGUCUAAAGUGAAUGCGAACUUGUAGCAAAUCCAUAAAGGAUUAAUCAAUGCUACUCCUACUCCUGCACCUUUAGAGAUUUUUGACCCAUCGAAAUACAGCACCGAAGGUUUUAACUCGAACGAAUUGAUUUCUAGUUCAAUUUCUUCAGGCAUGUCAAGGCAUGGAUGAUCGGCUAGAAAAUUAGCCAAAGCCUGAUUUUUGACUGCCUUUUGAGGUAUAUAUUGUAUCUCGAAUUCUGAUAAAGCUAGUGUCCAAAGGCCUACCCUUUGGUGUAAAAUAGGGUGCAAGAACAUAUACUUAACUAAAGUUACUUUAGAAAUUAAAUAAACAGUUACGGGCCGUAAAUAAGCCUUUAAUUUUGUACAUGUGAAAUACAAUGCAAGACAUAAUUUUUCGAUAGCAGAGUAAUUACAUUCACAUUUCGUUAACCGUCUACUUAAGUAGUAAAUUGCCCUUUCUUCACCAAAUUGGUCUUCCUGUGCGACCAUUCCAGCUAUUGAUUCUUUUUCAAUCGAUACAUACACUUUCAUUGGUCGUCCUUGGAUUGGUGACACCAACACUGGUGGACUUGAUAGAUAUAUUUUCAGGCUUUCAAAAGCCUUUUGAUGUUCUUCUUUCCAGACGAAUUCGUCCUGAUUUUUCAGCUUUAAGAGCGGCGAAAAUACUUUAGUUCGCCCUGCACAGUUAGAAAUAAAGUGUCUUAAAAAGUUUACUUGGCCUAGAAACAUUUGCAAUUCUUUUUGUUGCUAGGUGGUUUGGCCUCUAAAAUGGCCUUCGCUUUAUUUUUAUCAAGUUCAAUCCCUCUCUUGUGUACUAAAAAACCAAGAAAAUUCCAUGCAUUAACACCAAAUGCACACUUCAAGGGAUUCAACUUUAGCUUAUAUUGCUUCAUUCGCUCAAACGAACAUCUUAACUGUUCGAAAUUGUCCUCUUCUUUAAUGGAUUUGACUACUAUGUCAUCUACAUACACUUCAACAAACUUGCAUAUCAUAUUAUGAAAGAUUAAAUUCAUUGCUCGUUGAUAAGUUGCCCCUGCAUUUUUUAGGCCGAAAGGCAUAACCACCCAUUCGAAACAUCCUAGAGAUCCGGGGCAUCUAAAGGCAGUUUUGUGUAUGUCUUCUUCAGCUAUAUAAAUUUGAUUGUAUCUUGAAUACCUAUCCAUGAAAGAAUACAUGACAUGUCCGGCAGUCGAAUCUACUAAAGAAUCCACCGUGGGCAUUGGAUACUCAUCUUUGGGUGUAGCUAUGUUUAAAUUCCUAAAGUCUAUACACACCCUUAGUUUACCAUUCUUUUUUAGUACUGGCACGAUAUUGGACAACCAUUCGACAUAUCUGGCUGUUCUUAUAAAACCUGCUUUCAAUAAUCGCUCUAUCUCUUUCUUGAUUUCAGGGAGUACAUUGGGAGCAAAACGUCUAGGAGGCUGCCUAUGAGGUUUAAAGUUAGGCUUAGUUGGUAACCUAUGUUCCACUAAGUCUCUAUCUAAACCAGGCAUUUGUUCAUAUUCCCAAGCAAAACAAUCUUUGUACUUUUUUAGCAAAGCGAUUAAUUUAUUACUAACCUCUUGAUCAAGCAUCUGGCUGAUGAAUGUUGGACGAUCUUCUCCUUCAUCGCCAAUGUUUACUUUGAUCAGAGGGUCUUGUGCUUGAGCGUAUCCAGGUUUGACGAUCCGCAUUACUUCGUCGUCCAGUUCCCCUGUGAGUACUUCUUCUUCUAAACAGUCCACCUUGUUGACUUCUCGGCCAAUGCUUUGUUCUAACUCGAAUACUGCCAACUUGUCCUUCAGGGCUUUUAGGGCUGUCUCUUCCUUCGCCUUGUCAUUGCAUUCCUUAUUGAAAGCCAUUAGUCUGGCUUUGAAGGCCUGAAUGUCGGCCAUUUGCUUUUGUAACUUAGAAUCCAUUCGAGACUCCUUGAUUAUUCUUUUGCCAAUUACUGGCUCUUCUAGGGCCACUAUAUUUGGCCUCAUCUGUUUGAACAUUUCAGUGAGUGCGUCCACUGAGAAUGGCUCUUCGCUUUGCGCGACAACUUGAGUUUCUUCCCCAUCUUGUACUACCCUGACGGGUCUAUAGUUUCCUUCGUACAUGAACUUUCCACUGAGUUUGCUUCUACGACAAAAGGCCUAUGAUCGGCCUGUACCACCUCUGCUUCGCCUUUGUUAUUCCAAAAGAUCAGGCAUUGAUGGAGCGAUGAGGGUAUACAGCGACUUCCGUGUAUCCAAUCUCUUCCUAAUAGCACAUUGUAACUAGUAGGACCAUUUAUUACAAAGAAGACAGUGGUCCUAGUAGUCGUCCCUAUAGUUAUGUCCAAUGUCAUAACUCCCUUAGCUGAAGUUGCUCCUCCAUUGAAGCUCGUGAGGAUGACUUCUGUAGGAAUCAUGUCACCCUCCGUCUUUGCGAACUUCCUCAUCAUCCUAGAUGGAAUGGUGUUUAUAGCUGCUCCAUUGUUGACAAGCACUUUUGCCACUGGGAUGCCGUAAACUAGAGCUUUAACGUACAAUGACCUCAAGUGUUUAGUCAAUUUCAUAGCUGGCCGUUUAAAAAUAACCUUUUCGGCAGCCUCUAUUUCUACUUCCUGCUUAUUUUCUGUCGAAUUAUCUCUCUGUGAUAAGUCGACGUGCAGUAUAUCACGCUGAUCCUCUGUCUCCUGAACUUCCUUCCUACUUUUUUCUAAUGCUUCCUCAUCAGUUACCCAACUUGUGGGAGGGGGCAUUAUUCUUGGAGGUGACCCAUACUUUUUAGAGCGAGGCACUCUCUUCUUCCUUUUGGGUGUCCCGUACAGUACGUAGAAAUCGAAAGGACACCCAGAUGGUUCCCCCAACAAGUCUACUUCGCGAACUCCCUCUCGACGUAGUUGCUUCAACAGAGUAUUGCGCGAUACUCCUCUCUUUCUUCCUUCUGCUUCUAGGUCGAUUUCUUCUUCAAUGUCUGUCAUCCCAUCAUCUUCUCCAUCGUUGUAGGACUCUCUAGAAGUCUGGCUUUCUUCACAUACCAGCACGCAAGCUUCGCCUUCGUUGUCCUCCCUCUCUUCUUCUUUUUCUUUAUUCUUGAAUUCAUUGGCCAGUAAGUAAUUAUUAGCCACGACAGGAGGUAACGUACCAAAUUGGAUGGUAAGGGGCUGAUCUUGAUCUUCUCCAUCCCUUCUGUUCCGCUCAAACUUUGAUCUCCCAGAAGAAGUUUCUGACAGUUCCUUCAUUGAUUCAUCUGUACCGGUCUCUUUACUAUCUUUGAGGACAUUUUGAUUGGCUACCUUGAGUAGUUUAGGCGCUUUAGGAUGUGGCACUCUCUGUUGCUACCUCAUCAUCCGUCCAUAGUUUUGUUGGAAACGCCUUUGUUGGGUUCUAGUCAUCUCGUCGAAGGGUAUUUCCCUUCUUGCAUUAUACUGGAAUGAAUGCCAUACAUUUGGUAGGCGAGGUUGCGGCCUGAAUGUUCUUCCAUUAUCUGUUGGCCUGAACUGCCUCUCAAAAGGCAGUCCUCUAUAGAAUGAUGUACCUUGCCCUCUACCAGGCUGAGUGUUUGGGAAGAAAGUAGGGCGAUGGGGAUGCUGCCAUGUCCCUGGUUUCUCCGUAUUUCCAUUCACUUCUCUUUUACAUCUUGCACACAGGACGUCUUCGUACUUUUUUGGUUCUUUCCCCUUGAUUCGUUCAAAGAUACUGAGAUGUGGUCUAGGAUCCUCUUCUCCAUCAUCUACGACCAACUUGAAUUUUGGCAACUUGUUUUUGAAACCAGACAUCACCAUGUUCACUCCAAGUGGCUGUGGAAAAGGAUUUUCAUCCACUGCCAUUUUCUUCUUAUCGUCGAACGUAAUUCAUCUUGAUUCAAUGGCAUCCUGCAACACAUGGCGAAAAACCAAGCAAUUGUUAGUCAAAUGUGACCAUGCAUUAUGCUACUUAUAAUAUUUUUUACCCUUAAUUUGUUCAGGGUUAGGCAAUUUGUGCUUAUCGCUCAACUUUAUCUGCUUAUCCCUAUAUAAUUUAUCAAAUAUAAGGUCAGCCUUGGUUACAUCGAACGAGAACGUUCUAACCUUUAUGUUUCCAUCUUUUAUGGGCUCAUCUUUGCCCGAUGGUCUAGGCUUGGCCAUUAUGGGACAAGCAUACGUAUCUCCUUUGACCAAUUCAGCCAAACACAUUUCGGCCUGGUUGUAUGACUCGUCACUGAUGGUAUGAACAUCAAAAUUUGGGUCUUUGUAAUAAGUCCCUUUACUAGAAUUUUUCAUUUGUUCUUCCUCUCUUAUCAGUCGUUCAUACCUAAUCACAUUCGCACUCAACUGGAAAAGGUCAGGAAAUUCCUUAUCCUGGAAUUUCUUUUUUAAAUCAAAGCUCAAGCAGCCCUGAGCAAUUUUGACAAAUUCUUUUUCGGGCAAAGGCACAAAACACUUGCUUCUUGCUGUCUUGAACUUUUGGAGAAAACUUUCUGCCCAUUUGUUUGGCAUUUGACGUAGAUUCGCCAAAUCAGCCAAAGUGACUUCAGACUCAUUUUUAUAAAAAUGAGCGUGAAAUAACUGUUUCAAUUGUUGCCAUGUUUGAACAGAGUUCGCUGGCAAGUUGAUGAACCAGGAAAAAGUUACUCCUGUUAACGAACUAGGAAAAAGCCUCAUUUUAUGGUAAUCGGUUACAUCACCACUUUGCAAUGUGAAUCGCCCUAUGUGUUCUAGAGUAGACGCCUCUUCUAAACCGGUAAACAGUGAGAAUUUUGGCACUUUUUACCCUCUAGGCCAUGGAUAUGCUUGGUCUACCCAAUCAGGAUAUGGCUUUGUGUACGUCGGCCUAAUGACAGGACGCACCCCAAAAGCCAUCUGAUCCUGUACGAUUUUUAUAAUCUGAUUCCUCAACAUGACGUUGGGAUCAUAUGGAAUUCCUACAGGCUGAUUAACCGGUUGAUUUACAUGAGGCCUGUUGUUUGGUCCUUGAUUGGCAACAAAAUUACCAUAAUUAGGGCAAUUACCAUUAGCCUGAACAUCUAUUCUCUCAUUAACACGUGGGGUGUGCUGUCCAUUGUUUAGGACAUUAUCUCUUAUAUUUGGAUUACCCCCCCAAGUUAGGCGUACCAUUACCAUUGUUCUGAUUUGGCACUGCAGUACCCCCUUGGUUUGAAGUAGAGGGACCAGAAAGUGGUUCUACCCCUUGAUUUGGAUUUAGGACUGAGGGAUUAUGUCCCACAAUUGUCCUAGUUUGAAAGUGAUUUGCAAGAGGUAUAACCGGCUGACAUAUUUGGCCUACUAACUUAUUCAUUGUUUCGUUCAAAGUAUUUAGUUGUUUGGCCAUAUUGUUAUAGUGUACAUUCCCAUUUUGGGUAAAUCUUUCCAUAUUAUGAAUACUUCGAAAAUUUACCUGUUCAACGUCUUGUGUGAGUUCUCCCAGUAAUGUACGCAUGGUUCGAGGACUCAACUCCGUCAUUGGUUCGUAACGACUGUUACUGCUCUGAUUCUGUCCAUCUGUUCGUGGAGAGGCAUGCUGCUCCUCAUAUCGCUCGAUCACAGACUGGACUCCUUUCUGACUUGCUGCUUCCUUAUUGGAUCUCUGAGGCAUAUUGUUUCACCUUUUGUACUUUCAACACCAAACACCACUGUCCCAACGGGCGUGCCAAAUUGUUUCGCGCGGGUUAGUCGCUAACAAUUAAAAGAGGAUCAGACGAUUGUGUAAGGGACAAACCUUUUGAGAUAAAGUCCCAAAAAGGGGUGUUCUUUUAUUGGCGAUGACUUUACAAUUGGAAAUUAAAAACAAAGUGCCUACUAGGGGCGCAAGCACACAAGUUACUGAAAAAAGUUUAAGUCUAAACUAAGGAAAUUAAAAUUACAUGUUCUCUGUUCGAGAGUUUUGGAUUCGGUCAUUUGCUCUAUGUUUUUUCUCCCUUUUAUACUUCAUGGACGAUCUCUUUGUGAUCAACCGCCUAAAAAUUGCUUGAUCGUCUUAUAACUGCCCACUUUCCUCGUAAUGGCCAACUUGUCAUGAAAACUGCCUUUUUUAACUGCUGCCAUUACUCUUCGUCGUUCAAUCGCUUUCAAUUGAAUUCAUUGAAUCGUGGAACGUGAUAGUGUUACUUUAAUAACUGCUUUGAUAACUGCACUUCUUGAUGACCACAACGCUUUAUGUUUGUUAAGACCUUGGACGACUUGAAGGUUUGGGCGAGAAUAGAGUAACAGCUCUGGGCGACUGUAUGUCACUCCAUUCGCUCAGAUUCUGGACGACUUGCAAACUUGGGCGAAGGCGUUACCGCGUUCUUGGGCCUCCCUAUUUGGGCCUUCAUCUUGAUUUGUUUGAUUGGGCUUCGUUUUUUGGGCUAUCUGAUUUGGGGAUCCUCCAAUUGGGCUUCACUCCUUGGACCGUUCGAUUUGGGCUGAAUUUUUAUGUGUCAACAGAAACCUUCGAGGGGUGGAGCCUUGAGUUUUUCUAUUAUUAAGACUUGAGCUGGAUCAGUAUUGCGAUGCAAAGAUGGAGUUAAAUCAAGAGAAUGUGUCUAUAUAUGGACAUUUUGUUUUGGUAAAUAUCACACAACACAAUAUUGGGAAAAUUGCAGCAGAGUUCCCUAGCCAGUUAUUAAAUUGCAGCAGGGACAUUGUGUAAUGGUGGUUCUUUUGAAAUCUGAAGGUUUGGUAGGUAGAAAAUGUUGGAAUAUUCUGAGUGCAAAAAAAUGGUGUCUGUAGAGAAUUCUUUGAACAUAAAAUUUGGUAUGCCAUUGGAGGACUCCUUGCCUUAAUCAUUGGUUCCUAAAGGUGGAGUUUUUGAAGCUUCGGGCGGAAAUCUUUGGUCUGCGUCAGAUCUUUCCAUUUAUGUUCAAAACUUGCAGCAGUGGAAGGGGUUGGGAGGGAGGUGUUGGCCCUUGAUCGCAACGAUUUUGCGACUCCCGCGAGGGGCGUGGGGGGGCGGGGAGAGUUGAGUUGGAUGGGGGAGGGUGUUUGCAGAAGAUAACCUCUUUCCCUGUUCUAGUUUCUUUCCCUCAAAUUUCAUUCAUAAUUAAUUUUUAAAAUUUUGUUUCAUAGAAAUAAUGUAUUAAUUCAUUUACUCUUAAAAAUUUAGAUGUGAUUGCAAGUCACUUUAAAGGUAGAGUAGACAGAUUCCAUCCAUAAGGAAUCCUGCUGCCACAAUAAUAAAAGGUUGAAAAUGGCCCUGCCACUUGUUUGGGGAUCCGUCAGCACUUCUGCAAUUUCCCCAGGAUUUUCAAAGGAAAAUAAUAACAGAGGCGAACCAUUUGUUGAGUAAAACUCUACUAAGGCAUUAAAAUUGGGGUACUUUUAAUUUUGACCCGGUCAAAGGAGCAAAAUUUCAGUUUGACUUCCAAAAUAAUGAAUAUUAUGACAUUGACCUCUUGUAUGGUAAAAGACAAAGAUACCCUUAAAUGUUUUGUACAAUUACAAAACCAUAUAUUGUUGAAAGGACUAUACUACCCUUUUACUUAAUAAUUGAAAACCAAACAUUUCCCCACUUAUAAAAACUUCAAAACGAGCUUCCAACACAGAAAAAACUCUCAUCUUUUCAUCUGCUUGAACCUCAAAAUCUAGAAGAACUUUGGAACGUUGAAGCUGAAAAUUUUUUUCACAUCAAUUACUUCAAAUCGGUAAGUACAUUUAAUCAUGUUUAAUUUCGUUUUAAGUAAAUUAGUAUACGUUAAAUAGAGAGAUUUUAUGUCGACAUAGAUUUUUUUUAACAGAACCUAUCAAAAAAAAAAUUAAACGGAUGUAUAACUUACGUUUAAAUUACGCGUGCUUAAUUUCGUUUUUAGAACGGUAUUCUCCUACGCCAAACUGGUAUAACUUAACAAACAGUCGGAAAUAGUCUGAAACAGCCGGCUGUUGGAUGUUUAACAGCCGGGAAACAGUCGGCUGUUAAAUAUCCAACAGCCGGCUGUUUAAACAGCCGGCUGUUCGGCUAUUAAACAGCCUUCGCUGCAGCUGAUUUUUUGCCUUUUUAUUUCUUAUAAUUAAUAUUUGAAAUUGAUUAAAACCAUUUCCUCAUGCAGAUAUGAUAAUCCCCGUGUGUUAUUUCGGUGAUUUCGAAUUAAAUGAAAAUAAUCGGUGGGAAUGGAGAUGGACGAGUGACAUACGUGGUUGUAUUGCAAUUCCCGUAACAGAGAGUACACCAUAUUUAGAAAUGUACCACGAUUUGCAAAAUAAGCUGAAUGUCGAUCAAUCUCAAUACGAUAUGCAAUUGAGAUAUCUAUUCAACGGUUAUGGGGAUUCAUCCAUUCCGAUGCCACCGGCAUUCGUUACUAAUGAUGCUAAAUUGAAUUAUCUAUUAGAAUUGAAUAAAAUGCAUCGGACUCCGACUGUUCUUGGUGUGACUUUAAUUACGAAGGAUGUUAUCGAAGGUGAACGUGAAGAUUCGGAUAGGGCGGAUAACAAUGAUCGAAGUUUUUGGGAGACAGUGGAGAUAGUUCCUGCGGAUGAUGUGGGUAUUCCUGAGACAGUUGCUUCUGAUUGUGACGUCGCUGUUACGCGCAGAAUUCCGUCAACAGUUGAAGACAAUGAGAACAUAAACGACUUUACAAAUGAGAAUUUGAUUGCUUUAUCCCGACAGAGACACGAGCCUGGUGGGAGCUCACAGGUUGGAACAAGUGGAUGAGCCUGGUGGGAGCUCACGGGUUGGAACAAGUGGACCGUCCUCGAAUUCUUCCCGUGUGGCUCCCGACGAUGAGGACUUGCAGGUCGGGCAACUGUUUGAAACCAAGAAAGAUUUGCAGGAAGCUGUGCACCGGCUGGCAUUAAAAUAUAACUUUGAGUUCAAGGUAAAGAAAUCAAACAAGUCAUUGUUGACAGUUGCUUGCGUCGAAGACAGUUGCAAUUGGCGCUUGAGAGCAACUAAGAUGGACACGAAUGAGUGCUUCGUAAUUCGCAAGUAUUUANNNNNNNNNNNNNNNNNNNNNNNNNNNNNNNNNNNNNNNNNNNNNNNNNNNNNNNNNNNNNNNNNNNNNNNNNNNNNNNNNNNNNNNNNNNNNNNNNNNNNNNNNNNNNNNNNNNNNNNNNNNNNNNNNNNNNNNNNNNNNNNNNNNNNNNNNNNNNNNNNNNNNNNNNNNNNNNNNNNNNNNNNNNNNNNNNNNNNNNNNNNNNNNNNNNNNNNNNNNNNNNNNNNNNNNNNNNNNNNNNNNNNNNNNNNNNNNNNNNNNNNNNNNNNNNNNNNNNNNNNNNNNNNNNNNNNNNNNNNNNNNNNNNNNNNNNNNNNNNNNNNNNNNNNNNNNNNNNNNNNNNNNNNNNNNNNNNNNNNNNNNNNNNNNNNNNNNNNNNNNNNNNNNNNNNNNNNNNNNNNNNNNNNNNNNNNNNNNNNNNNNNNNNNNNNNNNNNNNNNNNNNNNNNNNNNNNNNNNNNNNNNNNNNNNNNNNNNNNNNNNNNNNNNNNNNNNNNNNNNNNNNNNNNNNNNNNNNNNNNNNNNNNNNNNNNNNNNNNNNNNNNNNNNNNNNNNNNNNNNNNNNNNNNNNNNNNNNNNNNNNNNNNNNNNNNNNNNNNNNNNNNNNNNNNNNNAAAUAACAAAAAAUAAUUAAAUUUCCAAUUUGAAUGUUAUAUUACAUUGAACAUAAAUUUACAAUUAUUUCAUAAUUACCAAAAUAAUUAAAUUUACAAUUGAAAUGUUACAUAUGUAUAACUGAAAUUUAUGGGUCAGCAUUAAAUUCGAACAAAUCACAUGCUAGCUUCUUUCUCCAGUUCUGUAUCCACGACUGGUUGAUUUCAUCAACCUUAUGUCCUAUACUUAAAAAUUCAAUGUACUUAAUGACAAAUAUGCCACAGUCGCCGCUGCAAUUGAACAAGAAUGAAUCAGUUUAGUACUGUGUAAAUAAAAACUAAAUCUGAAAGAUGAAAACAACAACGUUCAAACACUUAACUUAUGGACUGUCGCGCUGUCGUCGUGUUCCGAACGAUCCGCAAUCUGUCCUGUACAUUUAUCCCCGCUCGCCUGGCCAUCAUAGGAACAAUGACAGCCACGGACUCCAGAUUUUGCUCCAACUGGCCUUGUGUCAAACAUGAAUGAUCUGGGUCGUACACAUAUAUAGUCGAGUCAGCAAAAACGAUCUCCAGUGUAACAUAGUGUUUAUUGAUGCACGCUGGAAUGUACAUAUGUGUACAACCCUCCCAUGAUUUUCCCCCGACACUCGGUGACAGUCCUAUCACCCACUCGAGCAUAUAUUCUGGCACCGUGUACUCGUUACCCAUAUGUGCGAGCGACUGAUACUCUAUGGUAACGGCACCCAGGAACUCGGUGUUUAAUAUAACUCGACCAUGGACAUCAAAUGAUUUUGGAUGUCUUUGAGCUCGAUCUCGCAGCAAGUCCAUGACCAGGUCGAUGUGCUGUAGCAGGAAACACCGAAAAAGUAUGAGUUAUUCAUUUAAUAAACACAAGGUCACAUAUAUAUAAAAAACACGAAAUGAAUAGUUCACUUACAUCGUCAGCGAGCCAAGCUCCAGCAGUGAUGAUAUCGUGGAACCACUUGUAAGGGUCCGAGAUCGUCCUUUGUCCUAUCGUGCGGCUAGCUCUGUAAAAAAUAGGGAAAUAUUAAAAAUAAGCGUAGAAGAGUUAGCGUACAGUGCUUUAUUAAAAUCAUACAAUACUUACCCGGGGAUAAUUCUCCUCCACUCUGUCUCGAACGCUUUCCACUUGGCAUUGUCCACCUCUCUGAAUAAGUUCGGGUACGUCCCAUCGAUGAACGUCUUCCUCUUGGCCUCAGCCGUGAAGGGGGAAACAACAUACUGUGACGGCACUCUCAAUCUCUUGCCGACCACCUGCUCCGUCUCAUCAACAGCAUGUCUCUUACCCUCAAUCACGCCGGGCGUCCUCUCGACCUCCGGGGCCACCUUCUCCCCCUCCGUCGCCACCACCUCCGCCCCUCCCGUCGGGGCCUCCCCCUCCGUCUCCACCUCCUCCGCCCCUCCCGUCGGGGCCACCCCCUCCGUAAUCCCCUCUCCCAUCCCCAUCGGGGCCACCCCCUCCAUAGACAACCACAAGGACUCCAAUGUCUCAUCACGCCAAAAAUGUGGGUGACCCCCCUCUCCAUCACCAUCUCUGUCACCCUCUCGAUCAUGGUCUCCGCCAUCCCCUCUGUCCCCCCAUCGUCUGCCGGCUAAAUCUCCCCUAAGCGCCGCUACUGUAUCCUGAAGGUCGACAACGGAAGACUGUAGUAUUCCAACAUCAUGGGAUAGAUCGUCAACCCUCCCUGUCAACUCUCGUCCCAUAUCGUCGACCCUCCCUGUCAUAUAGUCAACCUUUCCUGCCAGAUCGUCGACCCUCCCUGUCAACUCUCGUCCCAGAUCAUCAACCCUCUCCGUCAAAUCUCGUCGUAGCGCUCCGACAUCCUCCGCUAUAAAUCCAAUCAAACGGGCAUACAAAUCAUCACUGUGCCCGGGAGACACACGGGGGAGGUGUCUGGACGGAGGUGAUGCCAAUGGCGGGGACGAUACUCUCGGUGGAGAUGAUGCCAAUGGUGGCGGCGAUGGCCCCGGCGGAGGUGAUGCCAAUGGCGGGGACGAUACUCUCGGCGGAGAUGAUGCCAAUGGUGGCGGCGAUGACCCCGGCGGAGGUGAUCAUCGAUCAGCUGGACCGCCCUCCUACAUAAAUAAAAUGAAAAAUUAUUCAAUAAAUUUAUACGUCGAUCAUAUUCAAUAAAUUAUAUUUCAUUCACAUACCCAAUCUCGGUCCAAGCUCGGAUCAGGCAUCUCCUCGUCUGGGGUGUGCGGAACGCCUAAAUCCCGCACAAGACCCCGAGCCUCCUCUUCCAUCGAUGGCGUCAACUCAGGUAUGACUUCAAGCUGACAUAUUGACAUUUCAACUAUUUAACGAUCAUGUAAACAAAAUUUUAAACUACAUAUAAUAUAAAUCACAAAUACAUAAUACUUACCUGAGGAUCGUCGAGGAGGGCCGAUAACUGCUUCCCGGUGGGACAUCCCUCCGCUCGCGAUGAUCUCCAAUGAUGCAUCCGAGGGCAGCGUGUCUCCCCUCGCUGUGCAAAGCGGGCCCCCAGUACAGGAACUGUCUCAUACCCCCAAAUCUGUAACACAUACACUUAUUAAGCAUCAAUGUAAUACACUAAAACUUUAACUUUGAUUAUAUUAAACAUUUACCUGCACUGCUAACGGCAAUCCGUAUGUAUCGUAUUUACGCAUCGACCCCCUGGGCCUCGAGUGUGAUCUGGUGAACACAUGUACGGUGUCUUCGUAGCAUCUUCGGCCCCACGGAUAGUUGUUGAACGCAUCGAUGUCGUCAACAACUUGCAAAUGAAAAAUGUCGAUGACAGUUUUCUUGUGAUGACACCUCAUCACACUCUCGAGGAUGUAGACCAGCCCAAGCUUCAAUCUAUCUAGCAUAUGGUCGCACCCCCUGAUCGCGGCCAUCAAGUCGGGUAGAAGCACCGACCCAUGUCCCUGGAAGUACGUCUCGUACAGCCUACUGCUUCUCUCCAUGGCUGCAUCGUCGCCCGUAAUCUUCAGUCCAGUGAUCAAUGUAAACUCAAACUUCGAGAAACUGACGACCUUGCCCCCGAGGUCGAACUGGAGGGAAUCGCCGUCGACUGGACUCAGAAGCCGACAUAGAAGUGCAUCAAUGAUCUGUCCUGAAUACUGCACCUCUCGCAACUGGUACAGUGGCCACAAGAAGGACUGUCGUAGAAUAUCUCCGUGCUGAUCAUCGAGCAGCUCCAAUACAACAGUAAAACUCUCAAAGCUAAUGUUCCAAGUAGCUUUCCCCGACAUCCGUCUCAACUCUGCAUCUAAAUAAUACUCCAUCCUGCAAAAAUUCAAAUGUUAUAGCAUUGAACAAGAGAUAACAAAAUAAAGCAUACUCUCACAAAAUCAAGAGAACCGAACUCUAACUACCAUACAAUCACAAAUAUUACAUUUGAAAAAUAUAUUUACAAAAAACAACAAAUCAAAUUAAACGUAUUGUCAAAAAAAUUAAAGAAUAUAAAUAUUAUUUAAAUAAAUUGAAAAAAAAUCAAAGAUUUUUCAUAAAAAAACAAUAAAAGGAACAAAACAAAUUGUUAAUUUCGAACAAUAUUAUGUAUUCAAUUAUUAAAUUAUAUAAAAAAGGAAAUUAUAAAAAUUAAACAAUUAAAUAAAAUAAUUAUUAUUUGGAAAAUAUAUUUACAAACAAAAAAUUUCAAAUUAAAUACAUUUUCGAAAAAUGUAAAGACUAUUUAUAUUAUUUAAAUAAAUUUGAAAAAAUAAAUUAAAGAUAAUUUCAUAAAAAAAAAUGAACAACACAAAAUUGUUAAUUUUAGAAUAUUUGAAUUAUUAAAUAAAAGACAAAUAUAAAAAUUAAAUAAAUAAUUACUUUACCUUUUUCUAAAAUUUAGACUAUUCAUAUUAUUUAAAUAAAUUUAAAAAAAUAGAUUAAAAAUAAUUUCAUAAAAAAAAUAGAAUCAACAUUGUUAAAUUUACAAUAUUUGAAUUAUUAAAUUAUAUAAAAGACAAAUAUAAAAAUUAAAUAAAUAAUUACUUUACAUUUUCAAAAAAUGUAAAGACUAUUUAUAUUAUUUAAAUAAAUUUGAAAAAAUAAAUUAAAGAUUAUUUCAUAAAAAAAGAAUCAACAUUGUUAAUUUUACAAUAUUUCAAUUAUUAAAUUAUAUAAAAUACAAAUAUAAAAAUUAAAUAAAUAAUUACUUUACCUUUUUUUAAAAUUUAGACUAUAGAUAUUAUUUAAAUAAAUUUAAAAAAAUAAAUUAAAGAUAAUUUCAUAAAAAUAUAGAAUCAACAUUGUUAAAUUUACAAUAUUUGAAUUAUUAAAUUAUAUAAAAGACAAAUAUAAAAAUUAAAUAAAUUUGAAAUAAAAAAUUAAAGAUAAUUUCAUAAAAAUAAUUUUAAAAAAUAAAUAAAUAAUUUUGAAAAAAUAAAUUAAAGAUAAUUUCAUAAAAAAAUAAUCAACAUUGUUAAUUUUACAAUUUUUCAAUUAUUAUAUUAUAUUGACAAUGAUAAAAAAAAUUAAAUAAGUAAAUAAUAUAAUUACUAUUUAAUCAAAUAAAAAAUUUAAUUAAUUACAAAAAUUAUAAAAAAAAUUAAAAUUAAAAUAUUAUCUAGGCCGGAUCACCGGCCCAGAUACUCUACUGUUACGCGACGUUGUUGGCCGUUCGUUGGCCCGGUGGCCGGGAAACGGCCGGAAACCGUCAUUCCCGGCCACUGAACUCCAAAAAAUGGCAAAAAAUCUCACUUUUCACAUUCCAGCAUGCCCACAAUCUAGCUACUCAUGCCCAUGGAUCUAAUUUCAACCAAAAUUACUAAGGAUGCUAACUAUGAAAAAAAGCAUUCGAACUGAAGUUUUGAUCAGAAAACUAACCGGUUCUUUUACUUCCACUGUAGAUGAUGAUCGUUGAUUGCGACGUUGGUGUAACUCCGGUGGUCGGUCGGUCGGAUUUCUCCACUGGUCGAUCGGUCGGUCGGUUCGGUCGGUGAGAGAAUUAUCAAACAGUUUGAAGGGUAAAAUGGGAAAAUACUGUGAAGUUUUCUUUUUAACUUAAUUUGUUUUUUUUUUUAAUUCAUUUAAUUGGUCAAAGGCCAAUGUCAAUUUUUGCUACAGUGUAAGGGUCAUUUUUGUGUAUUUUCCCAUUAAAAUUGGAUGCUGAAUUCGGUCCAACAUGUUAAUUAGUUAAAGAUGUGGAUGCAAAGUCUUCUGGUGAUGUUAUUGCAUGUUAUGAAGUCGGCCUAACUAUUUAAAGUUAAACCUACAUUUAGUCCUUUUCCCUGUGAAUACUGUUCACCUGUUGGGUUAACUAAUUCAAUUACUACAAUUUAAUUUUUCAACACUAGAUUUAUCUUAAUAAUAAUAAAAAAAGUAGAUAUUUUCAGGAGCGGACACGGGCUAUAGCACGGUUGAGCCCGUACCUGGAUCCGCCAGUGUUUGAACAUGAAGGAAAGAAUGUGCCGGUUCUGGAGUUGAUAGUAAAAUUAUUUAAAUAAUGCUAUGUAGAUCGUUAGGUGAUAGUGAGCCACUAUUGUAUUAUAAUACAAUAGACGGCCAACUUCUAUAAUUUGUUUCAUUUUUUGUAGCUUAAGUUAUUUAAGGUCAAUUUUCUCCUUUGUCGGUUUAGAGUAUUUUUUCCUUGUUGAUCUUUUUGAUAUUUUGAAUGAAAAUUGAGAUAUUUCUUUGAACUUUGUUAAAUUUGCGGUAUUCUUAGGAUUAAAUGAACCUUUGAUUACUGAAUUCUCAGUAUUCUUAGAAAGAAUAUAUUUUUAGAUGUAUUGCCUUUUAUUUCAGAAUAUAAUUAGCCUUCUAAAAUCGUCUAUUAUGGAAAAACUUUUAGGAUGCAUUUGAUUGUCAAUAUAUUUUAUGGAAAAUAUAUUUUUUUUCAUCCAAAUUCAUACUUUUAUGUUGUUUGACUGACUUUUUUUCUAUGUAAAACAUUUUCCUACUUUUGUUCACCUGAUAAUAUUUUCCUCAAAAUCAAGGAAAAUAUUUUCCAAGAAAUUCACUCUAUCUUUCUCUCUCUCAUCUAUUUGAAUUCUUUCAUUUACUCACCAAUAAAAACCAAACAAUUAUAUUAUAUUCUAGGUUGAAAAUUAAAUCAAUUACACACAUUAAAUUGACAAUUUUCAUACAAAUAGGUUUUAAACAAUUGAAUUAUCUAAAAUUUAUUUUCUUUCCCUCCAAAAUUCAUACUCGCAAUCAAAUUGCAAAAUUUUCAAAGUAAACGAAGUCGUUUUCCACCGCCUUAGGAUCAGUUUUGGAAUUCUAGAAAGAACGUAGAAAGUCAUCGAAUUUGAGUGGAGAUUUAAUUACACGGGGUGUUGGCAUGUUGCUCAAUGUUUGGAUUAUGAAAUUCAAGGUAUAUCUCAUCAAAUUCCAUGAAAGUAAGCCCAGAUUACCUUAAUUUAAUAAAGACUGCUUUAAUAAUUAAAAAAAAUAAAAUUGAGAUUACAUAUUAACUUUUCUCGGAACUAUUCCAGCCGGCAGCCGGACCACAAUUGGGUCAAAUUGGCCGGUUUAACUUUGUUCUAAAUAUAAUUUAAAUCCUUGUUUAAGCCCCAUUUUUUGGAAAAAAAAAUACAUUUUUCAGCAGUGUUUUGAUACCAUUUUAACCACACAUUCUUCAAUAAAAUAAUAUUAUACGCAAAUCCAAAAUUUUUCCUUAUUUUUAAUCACACAUUUCUUAUCAAUAUACUAUUCAAAAAUUCAUUUUUCCCACCAAAAUGGGGCUCAAACAAAAUGAUCUUACCUCUCAAUUUUUUUAAUUCGAUUCUAAUUUAUUAUAUUAACGUACUUUAAAAAAUUAACUCUUUUACUUAAAAUAGAAAAUUCAAAAUUAAAUUCCAAAAAUGUAAUCAAGACUUUACUGCUUACAAUUUUGUUAUGAGACAUAAAAGAAUCAUAACUGAUCGAAACAAAACCAAUUGGUACAAAGUUAUAUCAUAAAUUGAAUCUCAUCAAAUCUGAACUGAGAUGAACCAUACCUAAUUCUCACAUUUAUCGUAAAGUUCAAAUCAUAUGGCUUCUAUGUAUCAAACUGGGGUUGGGCAAAUCUCUCGAGCCGAACCGAAUUGAACCGAACCCGAUAGUUCUUGUCAAAUCAAAUACCCGAACGAGUAUCUGAAUUGAGAACCGACGGGUACAGUUCGAUUUUCGGUUCUAGAUUAAGAACCGAAAAAUUGAAUAAGAACCGAAUCUUUUUAAUUUUUUUUAUAUUGAGUAAAUCAAAUUAUUUUAAUUUUAAUUUUUUCUAAACAAAUUAACAAAUUAACAAUUUCUAAAUCAAAAUUUUUGGCCCAAUAAUUUGUUUCAUUUCUAAUUUUUUAAUUUUUGACCCAAUUACCCAUUUUAUUGUUUCAUUUCUUAGUCCAACAAGAUCCAAUCCAUUAAAUAACCCUAAACACCUACACUAAAGUACAUAACGUUGUCUCGAUUCUCGCAGCCUCGCCAAUAUUCCAAAACCUAUACAAUCGUCGGCAGACACUGUGACCUCCGAUCGAAACUGUGACAUCCGCUGAUCGAAACUUUGACCGUAGCGAUUAUUUGAACAAUGUAGUCUAUUAGUCUCUGACAUUCCAAAACCAUUGAAUGUAUCAUUAGUUGUAUUUAUAUAAUGUUGUUAUAAAUGUUAAAAAAUUUAAUUAUAGUACAGAACCGAACCGAACCGAGCGGAACCGAACCCGAACGGUUCCAUAAUUAUAUUUGGAUCUGAUGGUUCUAUUUACUAGAUACCCGAAAAUUUUGGUUCGAUUCGGUUCUCUUUAGAACCGAACCGAACUGAAUCGACUCGUGCCCACUCCUAUAUCAAACAUUAGUUAUAGUGAUAUAUCUGAAUUGAUAGCGAGACACACUUGACUUGGUAAAAGGAGCUUUUAUUCCCUGACUUGUUGGGGCAUAUCUCGCGAUUUACCUCCCUCACAAAGUUCUAGGGACGGGACAGUGGGGGCCCUCAAAGUUGGGGUUCAACCUUUUUUUUUUUUUUUUUUUUGACUUGGUAAAAGGAGUGUACAAUUUUUGACUUUUGGCCAGAAUCAAAUCACAAUAUUUUAAAAAGUCCAAGUCAAGGUCUUCUUUGGAUAUUAUCAUGAAGGCAUCACAAGUCCGAAGGUUAAGGAUCACUUUAAUUAGGUAGGACUAGUAGAUAUGACGUGAAAUGGACGGUAAACGAUUAGGUCUACGUUCAAUUUCAUAAAAAUCCAAGCUCAAGCCAUGUCUAUCAUCAAUCGGGGAUGGAGCCAACACCUGAGGAGUCCCUGCAGUCGCUUGUGUUGACUCCGUCGAUUUUUCCCCCCAUCAUACUUGACGACUACUUGGACGGUCGUCCUUGUUCACCUGCAUUCCUAGAUCUGUCAUUACUGUAAAUAGUAAUAACCCUACUUGGUUUUGGUUUGCAAUAUGGAGAAUUCAAAUUCAUUUUAUUUGUUUUGCUCUACUAAUUUCUCUCUUUCAAUCAACGUGAGAUAAGCUAAAUCACAAGGCUAUGGUGGGAAGGUUAAACUUCAACGAGAUGAAGGUGGAUUAAAAUUAAAGUCAACAAUUAAUUUUACCCACAUAUUUUAUGAAUUUCACAACUUUUCAACUACACAUUUCAUCAAUUUUUAGUAAAGUUUAUUAAAAAAAUGAUUUUAAUCCCCCAGUGGCUAAAAAUGCAGAAAAAGAAGAAUAAUUACAAAUUUAUCAUCGUUUACUUUUCUUUCUUUCUCAUAAAUGGAACGAAGACAUGAAUUUCUUCGUUCACAUCACGUCAUUUCAACAUUAACAUGGCCCAUUCAUCUACAUAUAUGAACCAUAGUACACCAAACUGCAGCACAAAACCCAUAAAACGUUAACAUGGCUAACUCAAUUACACUGUGUCUUUGUUUCUCUUCCUUGGCAAUUCUAGCCACCAUUCAAGGAAUCCAUGCAGUGGACUAUACAUUUACAAACACUGCAGCAAACACUCCUGGAGGUGUUAGAUUCACUAAUGAGAUUGGGGAACAAUACAGCAUCCAAACGCUGGAUGCAGCUACGAAUUUCAUAUGGAAAAUCUUCCAACAAGACACGACUCCGGCCGACAGAAAAAAUGUCCAGAAGGUGAGUUUAUUCAUCGAUGAUAUGGACGGAGUUGCGUAUGCCAGCAACAAUGAGAUUCACGUCAGUGCAAGAUACAUACAGGGUUAUUCUGGUGAUGUGAAAACGGAGAUCACUGGAGUUUUGUAUCAUGAAAUGACUCACAUCUGGCAAUGGAAUGGAAAUGGUCAAGCUCCAGGAGGUCUUAUAGAAGGUGUUCUCGAAUCACUUUAUCUAAAAAUUUAAACUUUCAGUAUUUAGAUAGCGUUUAUCUAUUUGAAUUCUUGCUUUAACAUCAUAUUGAUGAUUGGAUAGUUAAAUUUUACAACUUUAACAGGUAUAGCUGAUUAUGUGAGGCUGAAGGCUGGUUAUGCACCAAGUCAUUGGGUUAAACCCGGGGAAGGAGACAGGUGGGAUCAAGGUUAUGAUGUGACCGCACGAUUCUUGGAUUAUUGCGACAGUCUCAGAAGUGGAUUUGUUGCAGAACUUAACAAGAAAAUGAGAGAUGGUUACAACAACACCUACUUCGUUGAUCUUCUGGGCAAGACAGUAGAUCAGCUCUGGAUGGACUACAAAGCAAAAUAUAAUACCUAAUUAAUUAGAGGAAUAUUAUAUGUUUUGGGGCUUUCAAUUUCCAAUAAUUAAUAAAGAAUAAUCUGUUUCCAGAAAAGAAAAAUUAUAUAAAGAAUAAUCUCAAGCCCUUGCUAAUAGUGCACUGCUGUGAUUUCCAAUGUAUUAAAUUGUUUUAAUAAAAAAUAAAAUAGUACUAUUACAAUAUUUCUCUACAGUUCUGGUUUUUAUUUCCUCAUCCUGUAGUAGCCGUGUUUUUACAUGUGUGACGGAAUUCUUUCAUUUUUAAAGAUUCACAUGAGAUUUUUUCGAGAAAUGAUGGUAGACAAACUUAAUUUAUUUAGAGAUAUUUAUUUAUUUCAAUAUCAUAUUUUAAUGUCCAUCCGUAAUAUUAUUUUAUUGAAGAAUAUGUGAUUGAAAUGAUAUCAAAACACUGCAAAAUAAUGCAUUUUCCCAAAAGAAUGGACCUCAAACAUGGGCUAAUUGGUUCUUGAUUUCACACUUGGAAAAUAUUUUGUGUUUGGAGACCAUCUUUUGACAUUUGUCAUGUUCUUCGAAAAAGAAGAUUAGCACUUUUGGAGGAGUUCAAUUUCAAAUCAACAAAAUCAGCUGUGCUAGUUUAACCAAUCCAAGAAUUAAAAAAAGGUUGAAUUCCAACUUUGAGGGCUCCCACCGUCUCGCCUUAGAGUUUUUUUGAGGAAGGUAAAUCGCGGGAUGUGUCCCAACAAGUCAGGGAACAAGAGCUGCAUGUACACUGCGCCUACAAGGAGUCCAAUUUCAUGUUUCAAGAAUCGAACCCCUACGCUGCGGCUGCCAGCAAGGCAACCAGUCCAAGAAUUGAUUUUACAAAAUGUUGUCAAUGUUGAAAAAGUGAGUCUCUAUUUGUUUAAGCCGAAUUUUGUCUUCACGUGUUUUAACUUUUAACGCAGUGCAUUGUUCAAUAUAUAUGUUUUUUACUUAUUUACUAAAUUAAUAAUUUUCGAUAAAUAAUUAAAAAGGAAUCUAACAUAUUACAAGUUUUAAAAGUAUACAACAAGGUGGAUCUGGUAGAUCCAAUUAGACUCUAAUCGUCUGUUCAAUGGAUAAAAUUUAUUCAGUAAUAAGGAUUAAAUUAGAGUGGAUAACUUAUACGGGUGUUCUGAAAAUCAGUGUAUAAAGUAAGCAAGAAUUUAUUUUUUUUCCUAAUAAAAAGAAAAGGAUAAUGAAAAAUCCAUGCAUGCUUGGAUUUGCUUAUCUUAGACAUAAACAAUAAAUGUGUGACUUAGAUUUAAUACAAUCCACCUAUAACUAAAAAAAAAGUCAUAUUUUUAGAUCUUAUCUUUAAGAUAAUUUACUCCAAACAAAGUCUAUUCUCAAUUUUCUUUUCUUAUCAUUUUUAAUGUAGAACUCUGCUAUGUGUCCAUAAAUUUUGUACAAAUAUGUAUAAUACCUAAAAAGAAAGGACAAAGGUUCUACAGAGGUAGAUAUUAUUAUUGAAUUGUCUGACUUUGUCAUAAAGUGCUACAUUUUUUCCUGGCCACAAUAAAAUCACCAUGUUCGUAAAUGAGAAGGUGACUUAGAAUGUCAUCUACUGGAAAGAUGGAGACACUUAGCUAGUCAAUCUUUAUUAACUUUAUGAAAUACUUAUAAAAUAAUAAAUAUUUUAUUUUUUAAUUAUAUAAACAUUGUUGAGUCUAGUUUACGAAGCAUAUUCUUAUCAUGUACGACAAAAUAAAAUUCUAAUGGGAGAAAUCUGGUUUUUCCCCCUUACCCUUGAGACUAUUCUGGCGAUCAAGUCCAAUUUGAAUGCUGCAAGUCUGCAACGACUUUGACGCAUUAAAUUUGGAUUGGUCACAUUUGACUUGUUAUUAUCAGACAGUUAAGUUACAUAUCUGAACAUCAAGGCAGGAUGUUCCUACCUGUUGUUAUUUAUUUAUUUUUCUCUUCACAAUCUAAAAUGAAAUUGUAAUCGUUAAAAAAAAAAAAAAAAAGCCAUCAUGCUAGAUUUCUCUCUUCAAAGGAGAAUCCUUUGAUUCUUUAAAAUUUUAUGUAUAUUUUAACUGGUGACGGCUUUGUGGAUGAUUGCUGUGUGCAUGGACAAUACUUAUAUGUCGCCUGUGAGCAAUCCUUGUACUUGACAAACUUGGGUAAGUAAAUUCAUAUUAAGGUUAUGACGAAGAGUAAUUUGAAUUAUAUAGAACUUUAUCUCUAACGUGCAUGAUUACUUUGAUUUUUGCUACGUCUCUUCUAUUGAGAUUCUAGAUUACGAUCACAUGACAGCCAGUUAACAAGUUCAACCAUGUUCACACUCUACAUCACUGUACCUUGUCGAGGUGAGGCCACGCAUGAGGUAGCUGAACUGAAGCAUUAUCUCUGCUAAGAAGUCAUGAAUAGGUCGACUCUCCAUGACUUAAACAAAGUGCUAUAACCUGUUGCGGAAGGGAUUCGAGGCGAUCAACCUCUUUGUUGACAGAAAGCAUUUUCCACUUCAUUGCUUUCAAGAAAUCUUUCAUGCAAGAUAUUUUUAUGAUUUGAUUGAUGUAACAUCUUAAUAGUAGACGCCUCAACAAUCAACUUGUUAGUCCAUUUUUCAAAUAUCGAACCCAAGCUCUAGAAUGGCUACUUUUCAUAAAUAUUAAAUGUCGAUCAACUUAAGAAUGCUGGAGUGGCACUUAGGAGGAGACACGUCGACAUCGGAAUGAGAUCACGUGUCUUUUCAUCCAACGGUGCAAUCUCUUCUCUUUUACGAAAAAAACUCACACUUAUUACCAUUUGAAAGUAAUGCAAUUUUACAUACUCAAAGUAAGGUUGCUCUCUCUCGUUUCUAUUAUCUUGUGAACUCCUAGUACCCAUAUUGACUAACUUGUUUCACGUCUUUCGAUCAUCUCACACCCAAAUAUGCUUGUACCAUUGACUGACUUGACUAUCGGGGCGCACGCAAUCAUCUUCCCCAACAUCAAAGAAGGCCAAGUAUUUCUAGCAAUUUGUCCUCGAAAGUGAGUGGAGUCUGAAUCUAUUGACCACGCCACCCUUGCAAAAAUUGAGGUCAACAAUUUUCAAUAUAUUAAUUCGAUUAAAGAAAAAUCAAAAUAAAAAACGUAGACAUUUGAAUUUUUUUAAUUAAUUCCUCCUAUUUCAUACAAUAGUGGUGUCUGCUCGGUGAGUCGUGUUUUUACUUGUACGGUCAAAUUCUUUUUUUUUUCAGUGAUAUACACAUGAAUUAUUUUAAUAAUACGGUUGUUAUGCCCCUAAUUGAACUACUUAGGAACAUCAGGCACACCACUUCCCAAAGCUCCGCAUCUCCAUCCAAAGUGGUUCCGAAGUGAUCCGACGACCCGAUCCACUGAAUCAGCCGAAGCGUCCCCUGACGCCAAAGCGUUAGACACUCUGAAGUGCUCCUUUAACAGAUCCCUCCAUCGCCACUUUUAAAAAGAUAUCUGUUUCAAGAUCCUCUCUGCCUCCAAGGAUUAAUUGAUGUGACGUCUCCAUAGGUCUAGUUGAUGUGACGUAUCAACUUUAUGUCAACUCAACUCAGAAGAAUUAAUUGCCCGCCUGCUUUAGACACUGCUGAUUGACUCCUAUGAGCGGACACCUCACACCGUUAGAUGUAUACACGUGUUCCACAUUCAACGGUACUCUAUGUCCAUAAAUACCCAAGGUUUGGCAAGAGACAAAGGUAAUGAAACUCUCACAACUUAGCUCUCCAUAUUAAGAAAUACAUAUUCUCCUCUCCACUCUCUUGCAUAACUCGAGCACUGUUCCGAUUAACACUGACUUGACCAUUGGAGUGUAUGCGGCCGCUGCCACCCUCGCUGGUUUCAGCCGUGUGCUUCUGAUCGUGCGUUGUUGUGCACAGGGAGGAUUACGUGGAGUGACUAUCCGUUGGCCAAGUGGAAGGUCCAAUUCACGAGGUCAACAGAUUGUCGCCCUCUAUGGGAAUCUUUUCCAGUCCAAAAGUUUCAAAUUUUCCACUAGAAAAGCCACCGGCAAACCGUUGACUUACCUUAAAAAAGGGCACAUUCUUGAAAAAGAACAAAGUCAACCUACAAUAAAAGUUCUUGACACCCUUGAAAAGGUAAACAAGAUGAGUUAUAGUAAUGAAGAUGCAAAUUUUGAAGGGCAUAGGGAUCCCUCUGAAGAAGAAGUGACCUGGACCAAUGUCAUGCAUCAGAGACCCCAUCACCCGUGUCACCAAGGCAAUAGGACAGCAGCGCUCACUGAAGGAAUGACUCAAAUAGCUGUAGGCAUAAGGGAGAUUGCAGCUCAAAUGUGGUGAUGCGUGAAUUUUUCAUGCAGGCCCGAGGUCAUUAGGGCUUCCAGAUGCCUCAAGGAUCUUACCCAGCUCAAGAAAUCCCUCCAUCUCAAGGCCGAGGCCAUUCGAACCAGCACUGGAAACACCCCCUUGAAAGAGAAGUGGGUGUAGAUAUCACAUCUUACGCGCAAGGGAGCCAACCAGCAGAACCAUAGCUAGGAGAGAACUUUCCACCAGAAUAUGAACCGCAAAGGUCUGUCAGCGUCUUUAACCAAAUAGGGCAGAACCCUAGCAAUAGGGUUCGCUCAGUGCAAAGAUCAGCUCGACAAGAGUGGGAAUAAGAACAAGCACCUCCUCUACCUAGAAAUAGACGGGAGAGACGAAACCUAGUGGAUUGGAGUAGUCGAGGAGGGGCACCUCUACCUCUCCAAAAUGAGUCGAAGGGGGAAGGCUCUGAAGGGCCAUGCCUUUCUUACGAAAUUGAUGACGAUGAUGACAACCUCCCCUUCUCCAGAGAAAUCCGAAGCUUCCUGAUGCCUACAAACUUCAUGCCCCCUAAAAUCCUAAGAUAUGAAAGAAAAGGGGAUCCACAAAAACACCUAACUAAGUACAUGACGCAGAUGAGCCGCAGAGGAGCCUCGUUGGCAUUGAAAUGUAGGGCCUUCCAUCUAACCCUCACUGGAGUUGUUGAGGUAUAGUACAACAGCUUACCACCUCUGAGCAUUAGGAGUUGGCCAUAAUUGAAAAGACAUUUUUGAACCAGUAUCUCUCAUGAAGAGAGGGAGAGGCUCAGUGCAACGCCUGCAAGAUAUGAGGCAGGCCCUUGGAGAGACGCUGAAAAGCUAACUCGUCAGGUUUACUGACGAAAUCACAUACUGCGAACAAGUUACUGACAGGGAGGCCCUUUCAGCCUUGAAAUGUGGACUCAAUAUGAACACUUAGUUCUGGAGGGAUGUACGCAGCAAGAAUCCUACCACAUACGACGAACUAAUAGAAAUGAUAAGAGUGAAGAUUAUCAAUGAAGAGAUGAUUGACCAUCGAAAUCGUGCAGCGCAGGGACCCCCUUCGCCUCAGAGCUAGUUAGGUCAAGGACCAGUAGCGCACCUCAUCACCCCAACAAUGGACCCAAGCAGGACACACAAUAGUUCCCACAUCUGGACAAGCGUUGGCUUCUGCCACGCUAUAUGCAGUGCUGGUACUGGUAUACGAGAAUGCCCCUACCGAGGCGGUACCAUCCAAAGGCACAAACAACAAUCGAAAAAGAAGAAGAAGCAAUCAAACAGGCCCCUGGAAGGGGCAAGGUUCUGCAUCUUUCACCAAAUUUACGUACAUGACACCAGCGAAUAUAGGAUACUCCUCAAUCCUUGAAUCGGAGUAACCCACGCUCUUCGAGAAGGGAUGAAUACCCCUACAGGUCCAUCUCUCCAAAUAGGGAAGAGAGGCAAUAUAGAGACUAGUCACCCCGGAUGAGAGAAUCCAGGGACAGAGGAGAAUCCAGGCAUAGGGAUCAGGCCCCAUCUGGAGGCCAAGUUAUCAAGAAAAUUGAUAUAAUCAUUGGAGAACCUCACAUCGGAGGCAACACCAGGAAUGCCUAGAGGAACUACACGAGGGAAGCAAAUGAUCCACCAAUGAUUACUUACAUUGUUAAUCAGACCCAAAAGGCCAACAGGAUGGCCCCAAUCACUUUCUCUCAAGAAAAUGCACCAGGAGUUCACUACCCCCAUUGUGAUGCGCUAGUGGUAAGAGUCGUAGUGGUGUGUAACGGACUCAAGCACAUGCUCGUCGACAAUGGCAGCUCGGUGAACAUACUGUUCAGAUCCACCUUUGACAAAAUGUAGAUAGAACAUGGGUUGAUCCCCAUGAUCGAACCACUGUUCGGAUUCAUCGACGAUAGCAUCGUUCCAUGAGGACGAAUUACCCUACCUGUAGAAAUGGGGUCAGCCCCCCUAGUGGCCCACCACUUUAUGGAGUUCCUGGUGGUAGACCACAGAUUGGUUUACCAUAAAGUAUUAGGUUGACCUGCCUUGAAGGAUCUUUAGGUAGUCCACUCCAUCUAUUACUUGUGUAUAAAGUUCCCAACUGAUCAUGAGAUUGCUACAGUUCGAGGCGACCAGAUGGGCUCAAAAGCAUGUUACCUAAACUCUUUACGAAAACUCAAGCCCUGCACUGUUAAUGUCAUUAUAACAGAGAAGUCGACAUGGACGUAGAAAUGCUCGACGCCUAUGAACAAGGGCAUACCUCCAAACAGGAGAAAGACGUCGAUAUGGUAGAGGCCCCUAAAGAAGGGCACCCUCUUGAUGAGUUGGACCCUCGAAUUAUCGAGUCUGAACCAAAUGCAAUCCAAUGGAAGAAUUGAAAACUUUCCCCACCAAUCCUGAAAACCCCACCCAGGUCUUGUGGAUAGGGAAAGCACUACCCCCUCCCCCCUCCCCCCCCGAAGUGACACAAGAAAUGAUGAACUUUCUGAAAAGGAACCUGGAUAUCUUCGCCUGGAAGCACGAAAACAUGGUGGGAAUAAAUCCAAGGAUCAGUUGCCACCACCUAAACAUCAACUCCUCCUGCGCCCCGCAUCAAUAGAAAGAUAAGCCCUCAACUCAGAGCGAUAUGAGAAGCUAAAAGAAGAGGUCGACAAACUCAACCGUAGCAGCUUCAUCAGAGAAGCCAUCUAUUCGAAGUGGAUAUCCAACCUAGUCCUCGUAAAGAAAUCUAAUGAGAAAUGGAGAGUGUGUGUAGACUUCACAAAUUUGAACAAGGCAUGUCCUAAGGAUAGCUUCCCUCUCCCAAUGAUAGACCAACUGGUGGACUCCACUGCUGGACAUGAGCUCUUGAGCUUCAUGGAUGCAUACUCAGGGUACAACCAGAUACCCAUGUUCCGAUACAAUGAGGAAUCAAUAUCGUAUAUCACUGACAGAGGACUAUAUUGCUAUAAGGUGAUGCCCUUCGAAUUGAAAAAUGCCAGAGCCACAUAUUAGAGGCUAGUUAACAUGAUGUUUGCCGAAACUCAUUGGCAAAACUGUGGAAGUCUACGUGGAUGAAAUGCUAGUUAAAAGCCUCCAGGCGAAAGAACACGUAAGUCACCUCAACCAGACCUUUCAGAUUCUUAGAAAAUAUAAAAUGAAAUUGAACCCUCUCAAGUACACCUUCGGGAUAGCUUCGGGUCAAUUUCUGGGAUAUAUUGUAAACCAAAGAGGAAUUGAGGCGAACCCAAAAAAGAUAAGGGCCUUACUAAAAAUGAGGUCGCCUCAGAAGCCAAAGGAAGUCCAAACCCUUAACGAUCGAAUAGCCGUACUCAACAGCUUCAUCUCCAGGGCCAUUGACAAGAGCCUACCCUUU
rnacentral:lncRNA from 1 species